AGAAAGCUAAGAGAUGUUAGAAAUCCAAGUUGGUGAGGUAUUAUACUAAUGAAAUAAUUGAAACUAAAGUAAAAAACUAUGAUCAAUUUAGAAAGAUUACCAAUGUUGAUUGGAAUGGUUCCAUAAAAGGGAGUUGUUAAAAAGAUUAAGAGUGAGGAGGUUGGGGAGUGAUGAGAAAUUAAGAUUAUGGAGUGUACAUCUUAAACCACAACUAUAAAGGUCUAAAUUGGAGACACUUCUUGACUUGUGAUAAGUUACUCUGAACCAAUGAUGACAAGAAUUGAGUCCAGACUAAGAAGAAAUGAAAGAUUAGGUUUGAUUAUUAAGGCUAGCCUUCCAUGUUAGAAGAGCGAGUGCUUCUUAAUCAAGUUCAACUUUCAAAAGAUAAGUGGUAGGUGUAGAGGCAGAUGUAAAAGUGACAUGGAAUGAUGAUAUUGAGUACAAAAGGAAAAGUAGAAAUAUGAAGAAGCAAGGAGUGAUGAUGAGUUGGGGGAGUAAGGAGUAGAAUGAAAAAUAUUCAAGGGUCAUUGUUGAAUUGGUAGAAAUGAAAUUACUAAGAGGUAUACUUGGAGGUAUGAAUGAAAGUGAAACACUUAUUUAUAGACUUAAAUGUGAUACAUCCAACAUUUCCAUUAGUUGGUGUUGACAUCUAACCACCUCCGUAGUCUACAAUUAAUGGAAUUGAAAAGGAUUAUAUGCAUGAGCUUGUAGACCCUCCAUUUUGUCUUACUAGCAUAUGCCCUAUUGUGUGUUCGCUUAGUACUUUACAACAAUUCCCUGGUGGCCUAUUACUACUUGUGUAUUCUAUAUUUUCUAAGCCACCUUGGGGACUUUGGUUGAGGGAUCUAUCUAACCCCGUUGUGACCCUUGGCAGCCUUAAUUUAGACUUAGGCUCACUUAGAUACUCUUGGCACCACCUUAGGCCCAUUUAGGCACCCUAGGCCCAUUUAGGAACCUUAAACCCAUUUAGGCACCCUUGGCCCACUUAGGCAUCUUAGGUUCUUUAGGCGCCCUAGGCCCAUUUAGGUACCCUAGGCCCAUUUAGGCGCCCUAGACCCAUUUAGGCACCUUAGGCCCAUUUAGGCACCCUAGGCCCAUUUAGGUACAUUAGGCCCAUUUAGGCACCCUAGCCCCAUUUAGGCACCCUAGCCCCAUUUAGGAACCCUAGCCCCGUUUAGGCACCCUUGGCUCAUUUAGGCACCUUAGGCCCAUUUAGGCACCCUAGGCCCAUUUAAAUCAUUUUUUGCAUGAAUGCAUGGUUGCAUGGCUUCAUGGAUCAUGUUUUUGCAUGGUUCGCAUGACUUUCCUUUUUAUUAUUAUCUAUUUAGCCAUUUUGUAUAUUACUUUGUGUAUUUUUUUUUUAUCAUUUCAUAAAACACUUUUAUUCAAUCAAAUAAUUUCGUAAAAUACUUUUAUUUACUUCAAUCUAAUAAUUUCAUCAAAUACUUUUAGUUAAUCUAAUAAUUUUAUAACAUAUAUAUUUGCCAAUCCAAUAAAUUUUACUCAUUUUCUAAAACACGUUUUUUAUUUUAUUUUUAAUCUAUUAACUUUGGAAUUUUACAGGGCGAUUUAUCAAUGGAGAGUUUGGCUUCUUUAGGAAAGGAAACUUGGAACUGUGAUUGGAGAGAUAUUUAGUCCAUGUUUGAAAAUAAAUAAAUAAAAAGAGGAAAUAAGGCCCACUUGAAAUGGUAAGUUACAAAGCUGCGUGGGAUGUGAAAAUGAGAGAUUUAUUAUGUGUUUGAAAAAAAAUAAAAAGAAGAAAGAGGGCCCACUAAAUGGUAACUUACAAAGCUGCAUGGAAUGUGAAAAUGAGAGAUUUAUUAUGUAUGUGGAUGGGAUAAAGGCUGUGUUCAAGAAAAAGUGAUUGAGAAAAAAAAAAUGAUUAAAAAGAAAUAAAGAAAAGGGGACUGUUUCUGUUGUUCCUUCCAUUACCAUGGCUGUAGAGAGGAGCUGGAUGAGAGAUUGAGAAGAGAUUAAGAAAAAGAAAAAUGAAAGAAGGCAUGAGUCCAUUUUUUUAAAAAAAAAAUUAUAUAUGAGGUUGUUGUUAGAGAAGAUCGAGGGAGUUUUCAGAGCGGAGAGAAGUUGCUGUUUUGAAACACACAUAUGCGACUGUUUGUUGAUUCACCGGCCAUUCACCCCGCGAUUGAGAGGUGCACCAUUUGAGGAAAAUAGUCGCGUGAAUUUGGAAGUGGGAGACGCACCCUUGAAAAAGAUUUGAGAAGAACAACCGCAUGAAGCUGGAGGUGAGAGGUGCACCAUUUGAAGAGAACAACCGCAUGAAUUUGGAGGUGGGAGGCAUACCAUUUGAGGAGAACAUCCGCAUGAAUCUAGAGGUGGGAGACUGAUAAGGCAGAAUCCUCUCCUGAUUGAUUCUUUCCUUGAUCUUAGAUUAUUUGUUAUUAUGUAUAUUUAUCUUUUCCAAGUUUGUAGGAUCUUCCAACUGUAUAUACACUUUAUAUAAUGAGAAACAAUUACCUCAAUAAUUGUUGAGGAUUUCAGCCAUAUUUUACACGGGUUCUCAAACCUUUAUAUGGUAUCAGAGCAGGUUCUAAUUUUUUUUUUCAAUCCUCUUCAUGGCUACAUCGUCAUCUUCAUUAUCUCCACUUCCUCUCAACACGAUGGUGCAAAUGCUCACCAUCAAACUGACCUUCUCUAAUUAUUUGUUAUGGAGAAAUUAGUUUUUCCCUCUGUUGACCAGCCAAGAUCUUCUUGGAUUUCUGGAUGGUAGUGUCCCAACUCCUUCUCCAAAUGUUACUAGUUCUAACGGCAUCACCCAGGUGAAUCCGACAUACAUCUCUUGGUUGACUACUGAUCAGACUCUCCUUAGUCUUCUCUAUUCUUCUCUUACAGAGGAAUCUAUGAGUGAGGUACUUGGACUGAGUCAUGCACAUGAGGCCUGGACCACUCUUGAAGCCUUUUUUUCUAACAGAUCCAAGACUCGGGAACUCCAACUCAAGGAUGAGCUUCAACUGAUUCAGCAAGGCUCGAAAUCCAUAGCAGAAUUUUCUCGACUCUUCAAAGGGCUCUGCGAUCAACUAACGGCAAUUGGUCGUCCCAUUGACAACUUGGAUAAAGUCCACUGGUUCUUGAGAGCCUUAGGUCCCGAUUAUAAAAUUUUCUCAACUACAAUGCUUUCCCAGCUUCCAUUACCUUCUUUUGCAGAUAUCAUUCCAAAAGCUUUGAGUCAUGAGAUCUUUGAACGAUCGAUGUACCAACAAUCUAUCAACAUAGGGUUCUACGCUCAACAAAAUAAUUCCACCAGACCGAAAAGCACCAAGAGCGGGAAGCCCAAACCUUCCACUGCCUCUGCCUCAAAAUCGUCCCCAUCUUCUCCUGAUUAUUGUCAAAUCUGUGACAAAGAGGGCCACCUAGCUAAACGGUGUUAGACGUUCCUUAAUCUCAAGAAAAAGUAAUAUGCCAACCUUGUUAAGGCUUUCGCAGCUUGCUCAAUUCCGGACUCCAACGACUCUGAAUGGUAUCCGGAUUCUUGUGCAACCUCUCACUUGACAAAUGAUCCUGAGAGUGUAGAUGUUCCUGUUGUCUACUCUGGUAAUGAACGGGUGAUGGUUGGUAAUGGUCAGUCCCUUUCCAUUUCUCACACUGGUCCCCUUUCCACUCUUGUUCCCCAAAGCUCUUUAUUUUUAUCCAAUGUUUUAGUUGUUCCUGGCAUUAAGAAAAAGCUUAUUUCCAUUAGUCAACUUACAAAGGAUAAUAAUUAUUGUGUUAUUUUUUCUCCCUCUGGCUUUACCAUACAGGAUCGGGUCACAAGAGUAGCGUUGGGGGUCGGCAGAUGUGAGAAUGGCUUGUAUGUGCUCGAUCAAAAUCAUCAUGCCCUUGUUUCCAUCGUUUCUUCAAAUAAGUCGUGUGCCUCUGUUCCCUUGUGGCAUGCUCGACUAGGCCACCCUAGUUUUCGUACCAUUAACUCUCUUUCUAAGUCUGGUUUUAUUUCUUGUAGUAAUAAAUUGAUGGGUUUAGAUUCAAGUUUAUGUGUUGGAUGUAACCUUGGCAAGAACCAUCGUUUUCCAUUUUCACUUAAUAAUAAUCGUUGUCCUUUGCCUUUUGAUCGCUUACACUGUGAUUUAUGGGGCCCUUCACCUGCUUUUUCUCUUACUGGUUUUUGUUAUUAUGCAGUGUUCAUUGAUGAUUGAUUCGUUUUUCCCAGUCGGAUCUUUUAAUAAAAAAUAUUUAUAAAUCCUAUGACCUCAUACUAGCGUAGCAAAGCUACUAUAGUAUAGCAGCUCUAGGGUCGAACUCUGGGAUGGGUUUUCACUCUACCAGUGAUAGACUCAAGAUUAGAAAUUGAAUUUGAUGAUUUCCUUUGUCAAAAACUUAAAGUUUAAAAAAAAAUAGAAUUUUUUUUGAAAAUGGUGUUUGAAACUAAACUAAACUAACAUAGAAUUAGUUUAAAAUGGAAGAAAGAAAGUCUCCCGGAGCUAAAGGUUGCUAGGAUCAAGUUCAGAAUGCAAAGUGGGCAAUUCCGAAUUUUUCUCCUCGUAUUGGGGACAACAACAUAAAGGAUGGUUGUUUCCCGAACCGGUAUAAGUUUAACAAUGAAGGUUUAAUCCAUAAAAAGUCAAUAGAAAUGGUAGUCAAGUUCCAUUAAUGGCUUUAGACACUAUUGGUCUUCACCUUGAGCCACUUUCCAAUGACUCGUACAUGAUAACUAAUGGUCUGACGUGGAUCUAGCAAUAAGUAUCCACAGAGACCUAAAAGCUUACCAUGUAUUGGCCAUUCAAAGUGAUUCUAAGGGAUUUAAAGCAAAACUUUAGAUUUAAAAACCAUUUAUGAACUCCAAUUACCUGUAUUUAAGGCACGAGAGUUUUCCACUUUUGCAUCUGGACUUUUCACCUAGCUUCCUUUAGUCUAAGAAACCAAAGGUUUAGCCUCUCAUCCUCUAGGAAAACAUCCUCAGAGGUUGUUUGGCUAGAAAGAAAACUAACGAGAAAAUAAAUAUAUGAAGAGAAAACAGAGCAAGUGUUCUAUGUAUUAUAUUUCUUUCUUUUCUAAUCACAUAGAUGAUCUUUUGUAAAGAAAAUUAUAAACUAUAUAUAUGAGGUUAUUCACCCCUUGUACUUGCUUAAAGACUAAGGAAUCCUAUAAUAGGUGGAUUACAAGGAGAUUUUGGGGAUUUAGACAACAAAUAUCUAAAGCAAAAUAUCGGUGGCAAAUAUCAGGAAACUUCAGGAGAACACCACAGCACUGUGCAAAAUGGCUGCUCUCCCAUCCAGGUAGACGCUAUCAGAUGAUCCGGAUACGUCCGUCUGGAGAAGUUGAAAACGCCUCCUCUCCCAUCCGGCUCCUGCAUUCCGGAUGUGAACAUCCGGGUGGAAAGUGCGCAGCAGCCGGGUGCAAAUGGCCGCAGCCGGAUGCCAAAUGUCGGCGCGCAUCCGGGUAUAAAUGGCGGCAGUCGAAUACAAAUGGCGGCGCGCAUCCAGGUGUAAAUGGCGGCAGUUGGGUACAAUUCCUACCUGGAUAUGUUGUCCAGAUGCCCUCCGAUGGUGUAUCCAGACGCACUAUCCAGGUAUACUCCUUGUAUUUUGGAUUUCAAAGAACUCUCCUCAAUCUCAUAUUGCUUUGUUGAUCAAAAAGCUAUCAAAACACCAAAACUUAACACAUUAUUUAUUAGAAUUGAUUGCAAGGGUCCUUAACAUGCCAAUUGAGUUAAAAGGUGAUAACUACUACUCAAAAGUGUUUAAAAGAGUUAAUUAAAAGCUAUGAAAUAUCACUUUAAUUUUGAGUAGUAAUCAAUGAUUGUACCAAAUUCAGUUGGUUUUUCCCAUUAAAACACAAAUCUGAUUUUUUUGAUACCUUUAUCAAUUUUCAACAUUAUAUUGAGACUCAAUUUUCUUCUAAAAUUAAGUCCUUCCAAUGUGAUGGUGGAACUGAAUUUACAAAUAAUAAAUUUCGCUCUCACCUUACGUCUUAUGGUAUUGUGCUACGCAUUGCUUGCCCCUAUGCACCGAGUCAAAAUGGGAUUGCUGAACAUAAACACCAACAUGUCACUGAAACGGGUCUUACCAUUAUGUUUCAUGCUUGUGUUCCUUUAUUUCUUUGGGUUAAGGCCUUCUCAACAACUGUUUAUCUCAUCAAUCGACUCCCAUCACAAACUCUUGAUGGCAAAACUCCCUACGAGCUCCUGUUCAGUAAACAACCAAACUACUCUAUGCUUCAUACUUUUGGAUGUUUAUGCUUUCCUUAUUUACGAGAUUAUGCUCCUAACAAAUUGUCUUCCAAAUCCUCACCUUAUGUUUUUUUAGGUUAUAGCCCUCUUCACAAGGGUUUUCGCUGUUUUUAUCGCAAGACACAACAUCUUUAUGUCCUCGACAUGUCCAAUUCCAUGAAACUAUCUUUCCUUAUGCGGGUGAUGAUAUGAAACAAAUUCAUAAUUCAACACCUUAUAUUACUUUCUCUGAUUCUUUCGAGUCUAACGAUAAUAUGUCUCCUAAUUUGUUGUUAUCUUCUCCUGUUUCGAAUCCCAAUUGUUUGCCAUGCAAUGAUGACCUUCAUGCUUCCUCCCAUGCAUCUCCGGUCAUAUCUACCAUUCCUUCUUCUAGUCCUUUGUCACCAUCUGUUUCCAUACGUCGGACUUCUACCAACACUCACCCAAUGGUUACUAGAGGAAAAGCUAGUAUAUUUAAACCUAAGGCUUAUCAUGCAUUGACAUUUUCACACUCGUCUCAGUUUUUUCAGGUCCUUCUUGCCAUACAAGAGCCUCGGGGUUUCAAGUCUGGGGCCAAACACCCUAAAUGGCUCUUGGCUAUGGAUGAUGAAAUACAAGCUUUGAAGAAGAAUGAUACUUGGGAUCUUGUACCUCGCCCUAUCAAUCAUAAUAUGGUUGGUUGUCGUUGGAUCUUUAAGACCAAGCUCCAUGCUAAUGGUUCUAUUGAGCGUCAUAAGGCUCGUCUCGUGGUCAAGGGCUUCUCUCAAAUUCAUGGCCUUGAUUUUGACGAUACAUUCAGUCCUGUGGUGCGUCCUGCUACUAUUUGGAUUAUUCUAUCCAUUGCAGUCACUUCUGGAUUGCCCUUACAUCAAUUAGAUGUUAAGAAUGUCUUUUUUCAUGGUCAUCUUUCUGAAGAAGUAUACAUGGAACAACCACCUUGCUACAUUGAUCCACAAUUUCCACAACAUGUGUGCCAUUUGAAACGUGCUCUCUAUGGACUCAAACAAGCCCCUCAUGCUUGGUUCCAACGAUUCAACUCUUUUUUUAUGAAACUUGGUUUUAUUCUCAGUUAGGUUGAUUCAUCUCUCUUUGUCCAUCAUACCACAACAGACAUAGUUUAUCUUUUGCUCUAUGUUGACGAUAUGGUGCUUACUAGCACCAAUCCUGCUUUGAUCAAGACUCUUAUCACUCGACAAUCCAAAGAAUUUGCAAUGAAAGAUUUGGGUUCUCUACACUAUUUUCUUGGUGUUGAAGUCCAACAUAACCCUCAAGGCUUAUUUCUUAGCCAAACCAAGUAUGCUCUUGAUUUACUACAAUGUGCUGACAUGAUUGAGGCCAAACCCAUUUCUACUCCUUUUGUUGUUGGUCAACAUCUCUCCACUACAGGGAAGCUAUUUUCGGAUCCCACUAUUUUUCAGUCUCUUGUAGGAGCCUUGCAAUAUUUGACCAUCACUCGGCCUGAUUUCUCUUUCAGUGUCAAUUCUAUUUGCCAGUACAUGCAUGCUCCAACUGAAAAUCAUUUUUGAGCACUCAAACGCAUAUUGCGUUAUGUUAAAGGCAUAGUCCAUCAUGGUCUUCAACUUCACCGCACCUCCUCUCAUGAGUUGCUUGCUUAUUCUGACGCUGAUUGGGUUGGCUAUCCUGAUACACGGCGAUCUACCAGUGUCUAUCUUAUAUUCUUUGGCGCUAAUCUUGUCUCUUAGUGCUCUAAGAAACAAUCUACUGUUUCUUGCUCUAGUGCUGAAGCUGAGUAUAGAUCCUUAGCCAUUACUACUGCUGAAGUUGCUUGGAUUGUUCAGCUCCUUCGUGAUCUACGUCUUCCCUUGCCUUCCCCUCCAAAGAUAUUAUGCGACAACAAAAGUGCUCUUUUUAUGGCGUUCAAUCCAGUCACUCGGUCUCGAUCUAAGCACAUUGCGAUUGAUUAUCAUUUUCUUCGUGAGUUGAUUGCAAAUGGUUCUGUAAAAGUCGCAUUUACUUCCUCCCAUCUUCAGCUUGUCGAUUCUUUUACCAAGGGUGUCUCCAAGCCUCAGUUCCUACUUUUUCAUAACAAGCUUCAUGUUAUUCCUUCUACCACACUCAGCUUGCAGGGGGGUGAUAAGGCAGAAUCCUCUCCUGAUUGAUUCUUUCCUUGAUCUUAGAUUAUUUGUUAUUAUGUAUAUUUUUCUUUUCCUAGUUUGUAUGAUCUUCCAACUGUAUAUACACUCUAUAUAAUGAGAAACAAUUACCUCAAUAAUUGUUGAGGAUUUCAACCAUAUUUUACACGGGUUCUCAAACCUUUAUAGAAACGCAGCCUUGAGGAGGAUUUUUUGUGGAAAACAACCUCCAUAAGUCUGGAGGAGAGACACAACCUUGACGAGGAUUUUUUUUCAGGAGAACAGUCGCAUGAGCCUGGAGGUGAGAGGCACACCAUUGGAGGGAGAACAGCCGCAUCAAUUUUAAGGUGAGAGGCGCAUCAUUGAAGGGAGCACCAGCUGCACCAAAGAAAGAAAAUCAACGAAGGAUGAGAAAGAAUGAUUUUUUCUGAGCAUGAGAAGGCAGCCGCACCAUGGAGCUUUUCUUUUAGAGCAGUCGCACCAUUCUUGACAUGAGGGGAACCAUUGGCAAGCAAUCACAGGUGCAGCCGCAACCUUGAGGAGAAGCAACUUUUGGAAGUGCAAGGUGCAGCCGCACCCUCGGGGGAAUUUCCGGAACAGCCACACCAUUAAGAGAAUUUCAGGAACAGCCGGAUCAUUGAAAGACAAGAGAAGAACCAGCCGCACACAUCCAGAUUUGCUCCAAGCACAGCAGCUGGUCAUUUGCUUGCUCUUCAUCGCAUCAACCGCACACAUCUGGGCUGUUUUGAUAGUGCCACAACCGGUUAGUAUCAAGCAUAGAAACCGGAGUUCAUUUGCUAGCCCUUUCACGUCAACCACGCACCAUUAUGGGUUGUUUUGGAGCAUGCACAACCAGCUGAUUUUGGCUAGUCAAAUCAUUCACGCCGCUGCCACUUUGGGAAGCCUACUAGUAUACACAUCCGGUUGGGUGAGCUUCUCUCUUAUAUUUUUUUUAAUCCAUCAAUACAAUAUGUUAAAAGUUCUUUAUGGAUUUACUGUUAUGCCAUUAUAAGUCAUUGUUAAGCUUGACAUCUAUUUAUCUAUAUGCUAACUACUUAUCCAUUUAUUAAUAAGAUUUAUGUUAUAGGUUAUAGACAUAAUUUUAAAAUUUAUCUUAGAUAGUUUUUCUUUAAUUUAAUUUUUGGUUUAAGUGAAAUUUGUGUUCGUUAAAAUAGUUAAUAUUAAGUGUUAAAUAUUUGAUUUUAGGAUUGCCAUGAUUGGUGUUAAAAAUAUUUUUAAAUUUAGAUUUCAUUUAGUAAUGUAAAUUUAUUUGAAAAUUUUGGUUCCAUGAGUUCAUAUUUCGUUUUAGUCAUAUUUAUUUAUUCAUAUGUUAUCUUUUUAUCCUUUUGUUAAUGAGAUUGAUUUUAUAGUUUAGUUUUAAAAUUUGUUUUGGAUAGUUUUUCAAUUUAAUUUUAGGUUAAGUAAAAUUUUAGUUUGUUAAAAUAAUUGACCUCAUGUGUUAAAUAUGUGAUUUUUAGAUUUGCCUAAAUUAGUGUUUAAUUCAUUUUGAGUUUAGAUUUCAUUUUAAUAAUGUAAAUUUAUUUAGGAAGUUGAUUCCAUGAAUUCAUAUUUUGAUUUUAGUUUGCUUUCAUUUAAUUUGAUUCAUUUGAAUUAUUUUAGGUUUUUUUUUAUAAUUUUAAGUUAUUAAUAAAAUCAAUUUUAUAUUUGAAAGUGCAUGUGUUUAAUUUAUUCUGAUCUAGCUUCACUAACCUAAUCAAUUUAAGUAUUUGCUAUAAUAUUAGCUCCUUAAUAAAAUUAAUUCUAUGAUUGAAAGUUCAUGUUUGCCCUGAUUUAAUUUGGUCCAUUUUAAUCAGUUUAGAUGUGUUUGUGUGUUUAAUCAAUCACGUGUCAAUUCAUUAUUAUUACUCUUAAUUGAUAUAUUUCUUGAAUAUUAGUCAUUAAUUUUUUGUGGGUAUUUCGUUAGCUUACUGAAUUUGAGUUUGAAUAGUUUAUUGGCCUUUACCCUCACCUUUAUCAGUUUUGUUGAUUACUUAUUACUUAUUACUUAUUACUUUUUAGAAAAUAAAAAAUAAAUAUUGUUAUGUUAUAUUAAGGGGAUGUUUGAUAAAACUUAAUACUUAUUACUUAAUAAUUUAAGUUGACUUUAUGUUAAAUUAUACUUAAGUCGUUGACUUAUAACUUAUUACUUAAUUUUUACUUUAAACAUUAAGGUUGUUCAAUAAAAUUAACUUAAAAUUUAUUAUAAAUUAUCACAUUGAUAUAUUAAUUCUCAUAAAUUUUAAUUAAGGCAAAAGAGGUGAAGUUAUAAUGAAGGUCAUGGACUAGCAAAAGAGCUCGUGAAGAUAACUAGGGCAAAUUGGGGUGAAAAGGUAAAAUGAAGAUGUGAGCUUAAAAAUAAAUUAAUUGUUUUUAUUUAUUACUUAAAGUUAUUUUUUACUUUUAAGUCAUACCAUUAAGUUAUUUUACUAAAUAUAAUUAAUUUACUUAAUAACUUAAAUUAAGUUAUAAAUCACUUAUAAGUUAUUAAAUUGGUUUACCAAAUACCCUACUUAGUUAUUUAAUUAAUUCACCUUCUUUUAAGAACUUAGAACUAAUGAUGGAAAAAUUAUAUUUAAAGAUAUUUGGGAUUGUGAUUAUCAGAUCAUGAUUAAUAAAUAUGGUUUUUAUAUACACUUAAAAAUAUUUAUCACAUAAAAAUCAGGCUUUUUAUAAAAAUUAUUAUUUUCUUUGGCUUUCUCUAAAUUCGUUUUUAAGUAGAAGUGCUGCGGAAAAAAGUACUUUUACAAGAAGCAAUAUCAAAGGAUCUCCUACCUUGUUUGGAUGAAAAGAAACCAAACCGGAAAGUGACCCUAAUUCUACGUGGAAUCUAAUACUACCAACUUUGUUUUCCUUUUAAUUCAUGCAUAUCCAUUUUCUUUUCCUGAUUUUCACCUUGUUUUCAUUCUUGUACGUCAAAGAAAAUCGGCCAUGGAACAUAUGAUAACCAAGGGAAUUCUUGUUGGCGUGGGAAGUUCCGGCAAGGUGCACAUGGCAUUCUCCAAUGGCCGCCUACUAGCUCUGAAAUCUUGGUGUUCUUCUUGUUAUUCUUCACUUCAAAAGGAGGAAGAGAUUCUUCAUAGACUUGGACACUGCCCAGAUAUUGUUGACUACUUUGGAGGUUACUCAACCCAGGAAGGCAAUGGCGUUUUGGUCUAUAAUUUAGUUCUUGAGUAUGCACCCGUAGGAAGUCUUGAAAGUUUGAUAAUACGGAGGAAGAGCGGAUUGCUGGAGGGUGAAGUUCAGCGUUUUACGAGAAUGAUUGUUAGGGGUCUCCGUGAUGUCCACAAGGAAGGCUUCGUCCACUGUGACCUGAAGGUCGAUAAUAUACUCGUGUUUCAUUCUGAAAAUGGCGGGCAUAAAGUUAAGAUCGCUGAUUUUGGACACGCUAAGAGGUCUGGAAGGGAGGAGUUCAAUGGGGCGCUGGGCUCCCAGCAUACUUCAGAUGACACCCCGCCGGAAUGUAGUGGAAACGGAGAAAGCGAGGCACCUAAGGAUAUAUGGUCUCUUGGGUGCAUGGUGGUCGAGAUGUUUACUGGGAAACCAGCUUGGAUGAAUUGCAAGGAUGUAAAUGAGUAGGCUGUCCGUAUGGUUUCUUGGAGGCAAGUGCCUAAAGUACUCGGAAAUAUAUCAGAAGACGCCAAGGAUUUUCUGAGAAGGUGUCUGGAGAAGGAUCCAACAGAGAGAUGGACGGCUGAAAGGCUGUUGAGUCAUCCCUUUAUCGCCCAAGUUCCGGCUUCAGAAGUUCCGGCAAGUCAAUAAGUUCCAUGAGAAUCAGUGGCUUCGUCUUCCUUGGGACCUCCUGGGGAGUGUUGGGUCCGUUCAUUGCUUCCGAAUAUAUGUCCUUCUGCUUCUUCAUAGAGGUUUGAGAGUGGAGAAUAUGGAGGUGGCUACAUUGCUUAAGAAUGAGAAUUCCUUUUUACAUGGUGCAUAUAUUUGUUAUCACUUUGUCUUCUUUCUUGGAUUAACAGAUGAAUGAAUGAUAAUUGAGAGUGAUUUUUAAGCCUAGAGGAAUAACAAAAUUCAUAGAGGAAAAUCUCCUGAGCUUUUUACCACAUAAAAGAUACACGAAAGAAACAGUUGCUAUGGGUCAUCUAGCUUGGGACUGAGGUGGAUCAGUGUUGAAUAUUUUCCUAUAUACUCAAGACUGAUACCUUUUCUGCUUUCUUCCCAUUUUCUUUUUCAGUUUUUCUGGCAUCUGAUUCAACUUACUUUAGGGAUCUCAUUACUGAUAUUUAAAACUAGAGCCACAAUGGAUUCAGAGGCCAUGCCACAAAUGGGAUCUGAUGUCCAAUCUAAUGAAAUAUGCUCUCUGAUUCAUGCUUCACUGUCACCCGUUCAUGAACUCAAAAAACUGGAACAUCAGAUUCUUCAUGUGCCAAAGACUCCACUCUCAUAUUGUUGAGAUGAUGACAACACAUGCUAGGACACAAAGCAUUAUUCUAUGUAUAAACCUAAUCUACAGAUGCUCCAAUCUAAAGGUAUACAACAAUGAAACCCAGCAAGCCAAAAUGAAACAAGAGGCAAUAUUCUAAUGCGUGCAAGGAAAAAUAAAUUAAUACAAAGAACACAAAAUUUUAAAGUGGAAAACCCCUCCCACAGGAGGUAAGAAAAACCCACUAUCUAAUUCCUUCCAUUUCAACUAACACAAAAUGGGAAUGCAAAGUCUGUUAGCUUCUCUCCCGAGAGUUAGUGAAAAUACAUAAUCUUGAGAUGAAGACAACUACCUCAACAAUACCAAAGGAACAAGAGAAUGUAGGGAUUUUACAGAAUAAAAUGAGCCAAAAUAGGGGAGGAAACUUUUUCCCUUCAUUGGAUUUGAAGAUGGUUUUAAGAAUCUCUAUCAAUGUGGCUUGUGUAGGAUGCCCUAAACCACUAGCCCCACGGCUUUUCUUCCUUUGUUUCUUCACCCCACGAGGGUUUCUUUAGCUCUAAAGACCGGCUACAAAAAAGCAUUUAAAGUGUUGCUCAAGCAAGAAAUAAAUGGGCCCACGCUUUGGGCUUCAAAUGGGCUGUCAGGAUGCAACAAUAAGAGUCCAUAUGGGCUGGAAAAAGUAGUGGCUAUGGGACCUAACACAACAAUCACCCCCUCCAACGCAUGAGGGAGGAAUACCUUCAUGCCUGCCAUGUUGAAACACAACUCAAGCUUUUGCUUAGGAACCACCUUUUCAACACACACAUAGAGUAUGGAUCUUCAUUGGUUGAAUGUAUUUAGUAUUUACCUUCAACCGCUUCUUUUGACCAAUGGUAUCUCACAUCAAUAUCAUUUGUAUGAGAGUGGUACAUGGUGUUUUUUUAAUAUCCAUCUCACUUUGACUGUCAUAAUACACCACAUACUCACCAUCCAUGCUUCAGUCUUUAGUCACAACAACUUCUUCGUUGCUUAUAUACUUAGCUUCUGUUGUGACCAAGGCAACAAACUCUUGCAACUUAGACGACCAUGACACAUCUCCCACUAUAAAAGUUAUCAAAUAAAAAAAUCUAGACCUCUUAUUGCCAAUGUCACUAACCAUAUCUGCAUGUAAACCUUUCCAAAACUAUUUGAGCUCCCUCGAAACACAAGCAACUCAACUACUUGAAGAUCCAUUUCACUACUUCUCAAUGCUCUUUCUUAUUAAUGAUUAUGGCUCGUUUUAUUAUCCUUUUUGUAUUAAUUAGUUAUCUAAAUAUUUAUAUAUUUAUCAUUGCAUUAUAUAUGACUUAGAGUACAUUAACAGUUGUAUAGAAGAUCCAAGUUAUGAAUUUCUUAUAAAAUUAUAAGUUGUUUACAGUUUAUUUAUAGAUUUGGAUAAUUCAAUAGAGACUGGAGUGCACUAUACCUCCUACGUGAAGGAUAACUUGUCUUGAUCAUUAUGAUAAUUUUUCCAUGGUAAGUGCACUUAUAUGGUUACGCAUUGGAUAGAAUAACUGAAUUCCUUAUUUUAAGAGUUUAGGAAUAAAUGUGAUAAUGCUAGGUAACCUAGUUUAUUUUUUUCCUCUUUAAAAAGUAAAAUUUAUAAAAAAAUUUAAGGCAUAUGACUAUUUAAAUCACAAGUGUAACAUGUUUUCAUGUAAAUAUAUAAGAUGUCACACCAUCCCCACUAAUAAUUCUUUUUUUUUUUUAAAUAUAUAUAUAGAACUCAAAGCUAUUGUCUUUACAAGGUUAGGUAUAGGGACAUUUCUUUAACAAUGCUAGUUGAUAUAUUUCUACUCUAAAUUUUAUAUGAUACUAAAUUUGGAUUUAACAAUCAUUGAGAUGGUUUUUUUUUUCUUUUUACAUUUUUUUUAAUUUUUUAUUUUUCAAAUAUAUAUAAUAUAAGAAAAUUUAUGUUAUGAUUUUUUUUAUAGGUAUAAAAGAAAUAAAUACAAUAAAAAUUGAAUAAUUGAAUAGAUAAAUGACAAUUCAAUCACUUUUAAGAAGCUUAAGCUUUUGAAUAGAUGUGACUUGGUUUACUCCUCUUCACCAAAAGGUAGGAUAGACUAAUUCAAGAGGGAAAAAUGGUUUCAUAGUUGUUAAUUGAAAUUUUCGUAUAUAUUAAUAUAUAAAUAUAAGCUUCCUUUUUCAGUUGUACACAUAAUUAAGAUGCUUGUCAUGUUCAAUGGGGAAAAAAAAUUCACUUUAUGGCUAAAUUCUUGUCAUAAUUUGUUAUCAAGGGUUCUUCACCAAACAUUGUAUUGUUAGUGAUUACCCGUGUCAAGGAUCCUAUCGAUGUAAAUGCUCCAAUUGAAGUGAACCAUUUAUAGGCUCUAUUUAUUAAAUUUUAGUGUGAAAUAUAUGAUAAAAGAAUAAAGAAAGUGACAAUAAUUUUAUAUAAGUGGUAUUAUUGAUGUAAACCAGAUGUAUGCACUAUAUAUUAAAUUUUAGUUUUAAAUAUCUUAUAAAAGAACAAAGAAAGUGGUACUUGAUUUUAACAUGUCAAGGUUGAAGACACAAGUUAUGGUUUCGUAUAAUGAUCAUAAAUUUCUUUUAAUUAUAUAUAUAUAUAUAUAUAUAUAUAUCAGAGAAUUCAUAUUAUGAUUUUUUUUAUAGGUUUAAAACAAAUAAAUACAAUAAAAAUUGAAUAACUAAAUAGAUAAAUAAAAUUCAAUCACUUUAAGAAGCUUAAGCUUUUAAAUGGUUGUGACUUAGUUUACACCUAUUCACCAAAAAAUAGAAAAUGACUAAAUAAUAAAUACAAAAAAUUAGAUAAAUUCAAUUACUCAUGAAAAUGAUGAUCGACCAUACUUCAUAGGAUUUUAAAUCUUUAACCAAACUUGAUAUCAUUUUAAAGUAUCAAUGAAUGAAAAAAAAAAAAAUCAAGUGGCUUAGGUUAUAAAUUUUAUUUUCAAAUCAUUUAAUAUGUAAAUUAAUUAAAACUGAAUUUUUAAGUUUAUUAAUUUUAAAUUCCUCCCUUAUUCUUUAUUUGGAUUAAAUUCUUUUAACUAUUUUUCCUUGUCAGAAGUAAACUUUUUUAACUCUAUCAUUUCUUUCUUCAUUUUUAUCCUUAGAACAUAAGUCUUAUUAUUUCUCUUAAUAUUUUUUAAAUCAUUCAUAUUAAAUUUUAAAAUCAAAUUAGCUGUCAUUUCUUUUACUUCUUUUUCAAUCAAAUGCAUGGUUUUGUUGUCGAUGCUUAUCUUAGUUCAUCUGUAAGUGAGACUGAUCACCUAUGAGCAAAAUAGCCAUGCUUUUUUCCAUUUGGAAGUCUUAAGGAAUCGGUAUUUGGACCAUAAGAAGGACUACCAAAUCAAUCAUUUAUAGUCCGCAAUAAAAUAGAAUGCAUAUUAAGAGGGUCCUAGACUCGCUCCCAACAAUGAAUAUAAUGUUUGCUUUAGGCUCAAGGGCCUUCACGAUUUUAAAAGGUGUCUAUAAAAUUAAGAGAAGUUUAUGCAUAAAUAGUAUAUCUGUAAAAUUGCAAGGUUAAAUGUUAUUGGAGAAAAGCUUCAACUAAAGGUUCUUCAUCUAAAAACACUUUCAAAUGGACAUUAAUUAUCUUUGGUUAGUUAUCAUCAAUUCCUAAAUAUAUAUUUACUUUCCUUAUCGGGGUUUUUACUUAAAUACUCUUUUUAUCAAAUUGAACUAUGCAAGUGUAUGAAGUAGUUCUAUUUAAUAUGUUCAUCUGCUCUUUGAAUCAUUUUCUCCUUGAGUUACUUGUUUCAUCUUAGCAAAAAAAUACGGUUUGUCACCCAUUUUGAGGGGAGAUAAUAACAAAAAACUCAUAGUUCAUGCUGAUAAGCAUAAAAAAAAAAAAUGUAAUUUCAACAGUCUUGGAAAUUAUCACUCUCUCAAUAAUCUAUUGAAAAAAAUGAAAAGAUUACUUGUUAGGGUCCUAAAAAAGGUGCAGACACAUGAACAAAAAACCUAAUUACAUCCAAAAACAGGAGUCAUUUGCCUUCUUGGACCUCCGCAGCCCCAAGGAUACGUUCAAAACGGUGACUGUCACAAGAAUGAAGGAUACAAGAAACCCAUAUCCUAUUUUCCACCCCGAGCCUGCUUCUGCCACUAAAAGUCCAAUCACAAUAUUCAGAGCUCCCAAGAAGAGAGCAAGUCUCCCUACCCAGUGAUGUUUUCAGCAUUACCUGAAGUAAACUUAGAUUCAAUGCCAUUACCUGAGAAGAAGUAAACUUAGUUUUCAGCAUGCUUGAAGAAAUAUAUUUAGUUAAUGUCGAGUGAAGGCCUAGCCCGAGCCAAAACAAACCUGAAGAAUGCUAAGGACAAGCACUAAGGAUUCGAGGGGUCUGAAUCUUGAAUUUGCCAAAGCGAUCGGAUUCCAGUCCAUUGUAGAGUGUCCUUCCUACGACAACAGUAGCAAGACCCAGAAGAAAACCCACAAUCUGGAUCAAGAUAUGAAGAUAAAACAAUUGAGGAUCAUGAUGCUUGAAGUAUCUUGGGAUGAUUGUCCCAAAUGGAAGGAGCACGCCCCAUGCAAUUGGGACCAUGGCUCCCUGACGCGCCUUCAAACCUCCAGAGUUAUUGACACCAGAGGUAUAUACUGUGAGACACAAACAGAAAGUUUCCAUAUCAGGCUUAAAAGAGUAUUAUCUGAAGCUCCCACUUUAUUUUCCUAGAUAUAAGCCCCUCACGUCUAGAACGUAAAAUCCUCUAUUCUCUGUUCAAAUUUCAGCUUUGCAAUUGGAGUCAAUACAUCUCGUAUUCAAUUCAAUCCUCAUCUUUUACUGGCCUCCUAAAUUCUAAACCCUGUCUGGGUUUUCCAGUUUUGUGAAAAAUUACAACAGGAUGGGAUUUGAUUCAAUGUGAGAGACAAAAUUUUGGAAAAAUCUGCAAAACCCUCAACAGUUGUGGCCAUAACUCAAGACCAAGAUGGGAACUUACAAUGUCAUAAUGCUGAUGAAUGCUUCAUAGACUGCUCUACCAUACUAGAGUUUGACGGAAUGCCUGUCCUUUGUUGAAAGACAUGAAGUUCCUCACAUGCUCGAGCAGGAAGAACCUUGGCUGAAAGUAAUCGGCAAAGGAUAAGAAGGCGAGGAUCAUUUCACACUGAACUUUACUCCAGUUAGUUUGGUUAAAUGGAUUCAUCCCAGAGAAACCCUGUGAAGAUGGCAGCCUUGUUUUAGCUCCUAGAAUAGAGUAAAAAAACAGAGCAGAAGCUGAUCAAACCUGGCAUGGAGGCCCCCCAUUGAUAAAAUCAACUUGUCCAAGCAUCCGGUGAUGCAGAUUAUUUGGCAGCCUCAGAAGUAGAGACACAGUCAUCUGACAUUCCCACGCUCUUCCACGACAGCCCUGCGUCACAACCAAUCUACGGGUCAAUUACAAAUUGAGAGACAGAGGAAAAGAGAUUUUCAUGUUAAUGAAAUCAUUCACCUCAGGAUCGAACAGCAAUUGUUAACACACAUCAAUGAUUCUGGAUGAUUGAAUUUAAGUGCAUCCCCAGCAGGCUCUUCAUAUUCAGUAGCCCACUUGGCUACUGAUACAAAUGCAAAAUUGGAAGCAACAGGAGUUAAAAUAAUCACAUUCUUUAACGUAAAUGUCAUCAAAUACGACUCUUUGGCUGAUAUAGAUACAAAUGAACUACCUGCUUGAGGGACCCUUCAAACAAAAAUAAGUUCCAAAGGUUGCAAGGACAUCACAUUUCCCCUCUGUCAUCUCAACAGGAACAGAAUGGGUCUCUUCACGGUAGUACACCUGCACAUUCCACCCUUCAAAUAUCUUAGGAAAAUAAUAUAAUUGUAGUUUUAUAUUAUAAUAGAAGUACAAACAAGACAUUAUGCUUGCACCCACCCCAUGGAUGUCAUAACAGUAUGUCUUAUCUGCUGAAACUUCUUCAGACCUGAUAAAUCUUCUUACUUUACCCAAUAUAAGCUUUUACAGUAAUAAUCAAUUGAUAACAAAUUUACAUGGAGAAGUGAGGACCCUCAGCUAGUUUCACCCCCAUGACCAUGAUCCUGCAGCUCAAGCAAUGUAAUCAUGGAAAACGGUUUCGACAAUGGUGGCCACUGUGUUGAGAGUGCUCGAGCAACUUGUUGCAUAGUUGGCCGAGAUUGGGGAUUAACACGCAAGCAUGCAAAUGCCAACUUCACUGCAACCUCUACUUCCUUUGCCACUUGAUUCACAGGAGGUGAGGGGCGCUGGUCUAUCACAUCAUUCAACAGGAAAUGGCCGGCAGUUGAUGGUGAUGUAGAUGAGGAGGACGCUGAUGAUAACAGGGAUGAGAUGAGUUCUCCAGGAUGCCUCCCCAUAAUUACUUCCAAUGUUACAACACCGAAACUAUAAACAUCGGUUUUAUUAUCCACCUUCAUCGAGUAUGCAAGUUCUGCAAAGAAGAUUAGAUCAUGCUCUGCUCUGCUAAGCAAUUAUAAAAGUUACAUAUGAUGUGUAGAGGCCGUUUAGAGAUAAUCAAGGCACUCAGAAAAAUGUACCUGGAGCAGUAUAACCAAAAGUUCCUGCAAAUGAAGUCCAAUUAGAUGAGUCCGACUUUAAAAGCCUAGCUGUGCCGAAGUCAGAUACAUGAGCUUCAUAUUCUGAAUCUAACAAAACAUUGUUACUUGAUAUGUCUCGAUGAAUUAUAGGAGGUGAGCAAUCAUGGUGCAUAUAAGAUAAAGCUUUAGCCACGCCUUUAACAACGUUUAGCCUCACAAUCCAAUCUAAUUUUUCUGCUUCUUCGUCGUUUCUUAGAAUGUUUCGCAAGCUUCCCUUUUCCAUAAACUCAUAAACCAAAAAUGAGUUCUCUGCAAAUAAACUGAAGCCAUAAAGCUUGACGAUACUGCGAUGCCUUAUCUGUGUUAAAGCAUGAAUCUCGCUUUUGAAAGCUUUCAAAUCAGCCAUAUCUCCAUCUUGUGAUGAGUGAAGCUUUUUCACAGCAACAACCCGACCUGUUGGCAACUCAGCCUUGUAAACAGUACCAUAUCCUCCAGUGCCAAUACACUGCUUCGAACUGAAAUUGUCGGUCCCCUGUAUGAUGUGUUCAUACAGCAAUUCCCCAUCAUGGCCCCAUAUUGCAAAUAGAUCUUCAACAUCUGCUUCUGGAGAUUUGGUUUUUCUCUUCCUCAAUUUUUGGAAAAGAAAAAAAAUGCCAAUAACAAAAGCAAAUAAGAACAAUAGACUGCUCACAAUGAGGAGUAUUAUGAUCAAAAUAGAAAACUUGUUGGCCUUCUUUCGACUAGCACUACAUGGCUUGAGAUGAGUGACAUUAUUACCACACAGACCUUUAUUAUUUUUGAAUGCCUCAAAUGGAGCAAAGGCUUUGAUGUUUGGGAGAGGACCUUCCAAUUGAUUGUAGGAUAUAUCAGCAACUGUCAAACUUAUCAAAUCAUCAAACGUGUGUGGGAUGGUACCAGAUAGCCCAUUGUGGGAGAGAUUCAACGUUUCCAGGUUCUGUAAUUCUCCAAGCAGCGGUGGCAUCUCUCCUGUCAACAUAUUUUGACUAAGAUCGAGACUUCGAAGAUGAUGCAUCUUUCCAAUUUCGUCAGGAAUGCUAUCCACAAAUCUAUUCUCGCUCAAGUUCAAGGACCAUAAUUUCCAGAAGUUUCCCAGUUGCUUGGGAAUUGGACCGCUUAAGUUGUUUGAUGCCAAGUCAAGGAUUUCAAGAUUGGAUAAGUUUCCCAAUUCCAGAGGAAUACUUCCUGAAAGUUUGUUGUUGCCUAGCAACAACUUGAACAGUAAAGGAAGCAUACCCAAUUCUUUUGGGAUCUUCCCAAUUAGAUGAUUUGAGGAGAGAUCAAGUUGUUGCAGUUGAAUUGCUUUCCCAAGUUGAGGUGGUAUAGCACCAGAAAUUUUGUUAUUGGAGAUGUUCAGGUUUGUGAGCAUGUGGCACUCCCCCCAUUUCUCAGAAAGGUCACCAUACAAAUUGUUACUGCUCAGAUCAAUAUAAUUUAGAUUAGGGUAUACACCAAAACUUUCGGCUAUGUCUCCAGUAAGUUGGUUAUUUUCAAGCCUAACUCUGAAUAAGCUAGUGCAAUUUUUCAAGCUCUUUGGAAUAGGACCAGUGAAAUGGUUCCUUUGGGCUGAAACUUUUUCAAGAGCAUUACCAAGGCAUAUCUCUUGUGGUAGGUGGCCAGUGAAGUUAUUCUCACCUAUCUGCAAAGAUUUCAAAUGAGUGAUAUUAUUCAUUUCUCGAGGAAUGGCACCACUAAGUUUGUUGGAAUGAAGAGCCAAAGUGGUUAAGCUGGACAAGUUUCCUAUAGAAGCUGGUAUUGAACCAAUGAGAUUGUUAAAUGAUAAGUCAAGAAUAUUAAGCAAUCUCAACAAUCCAAUUUCUUGAGGGAUAUAACCAAAAAGGCCAUUUUGAGAAAGAUACAAGGUGGUUAAGUUCCUCAAGUUUCCUACAAAAGAAGGGAUUGGACCAGUGAGAUUAUUACUUCCCAACUCAAGAACUAUAAGAGAUCUCAGUAACUCAAAUUCUUGAGGGAUGAAUCCAGAAAGUUUGUUACCAUAAAGAUAUAAAAGGCUUAACUUGGACAAGUUUCCUAAGGAAGCUGGUAUUGAACCGCUAAGAUUGUUGUCUGCCAAGUCAAGAUUCUCAAGUGAUGUCAAUAAUCCAAUUUCUUUAGGAAUGGAGCUAGAAAGUUGGUUACCAUAAAUGUAUAAAAUAAUUAAGUUCUUCCAAUUUUCUAUGGAAGUUGGUAGUGAACCAUUGAGAUUGUUAUAUGACAAGACUAGAUAAUUAAGAGAUCUCAACAAUGUAAUUUCUUGAGGAAUAGAACCAAAUAGAUUGUUUGAAUUAAGGUACAAAGUGGUUAAGUUCCUCAAGUUACCUAUGGAAGAAGGGAUUGGACCAAUGAAAUUGUUAGUUGACAAAUCAAUACUAGUAAGAGAUCUCAAUAAUCCAAUUUCUUGAGGAAUAAAACCAGAUAGUUUGUUUCUCAGAAGGAGCAAAGUGGUUAAAUUCCUCAAAUUACCUAUGGAAGGAGGGAUUGAGCCAAUGAGAUUAUUAGUUGACAAAUCAAUAACAUUAAGAGAUCUCAACAAUCCAAUUUCUUGAGGAAUAGAACCAGAUAGGUUGUUUGAAUUAAGGUACAAUGUGGUUAAGUUCCUCAAGUUCCCUAUGGAAGGAGGAAUUGGGCCUUUGAAAUUAUUAGAAGACAAUGCUAGAAAGCUAAGAGAUGUUAGAAAUCCAAGUUGGUCAGAUAUUACACCAAUGAAAUGAUUGAAACGAAAGUCCAAAACUAUGAUCAGUUUGGAAAGAUUGCCAAUGUUGAUUGGAAUGGUUCCAUAGAGGGAGUUGUUAUAAAGAUUAAGAGUAAGGAGGUUGGAAAGUGAUGAAAAAUUGAGAUUAUGGAGUGUACCUCUCAAACCGCAACUUUGAAGGUCUAAACUGGAGACACUUCCUGACCUGUGACAAGUCACUCCGAACCAAUGAUGGCAAGAAUUGCGUCCAGACCAAGAAAAGAGGAAAGAUUGGGUUUGAUUAUCAAGACUAGCCUUCCAUGUUAGAAGAGCAAGUGCUUCUUGAUCUUGUUCAACUUUCGAAAAAGAAGUGAUAGGUGUAGAGGCAAAUGUAAAAGUGACAUGGAAUGAUGAUAUUGAGUACAAAAGGAAAAGGAGAAAUAUGAAGAAGCAAGGAGUGAUGAUGAGUCGGGGGAGUAAGGAGUAGGAUGAAGGACAUCCAAGGGUCAUUGUUGAAUUGGUAGAAAUGAAGUUAUUAGGGGUUUACUUGGAGGGAAGGAAGAAGAUGAAACACUUAUUUAUAGGCUUAAAUGUGAUACAUCCAAUAUUUCCAUUGGUUUGUGUUGGCAUCCAACUACCUCAUUGGUCUACAAUUAAUGGAAUUGAAAAGGAUCAGAGUAUAUACAUUAAUUCAAUUCCACACUUAUUUUAUUUUAUUUUAUCACUCUUAAUUUUUUAAUUAAAAUGAAAUUAUUAAAAAUAUUCCUUUUUCACUCCAUUCACUUUUAAAUAUAAUUUGUUUGAAAUUAAUAAUUACAAUUCUUUCUAAGAAGUAAGGAUCAAAUAUGCUCAUGUCAAUAUCCUAGUUGAUAUAGGAAGUCCACUUGAGCAACAUUACUUGUACAUGUGCCUUUAUAUAAGCCACUUGAUAUUUUUUUUUUCAAAAAUUAAUAAAUAUAAGCUUUAAUGAGAGCAAAGAGAAUCGGGUACAUAUUUUAUUAUUAAAAAAUCUGCCAUGAAAUUUUUUUUGGUAGGCUUACGUUUUGCAUAAGAUAUAUAUAUUCAUUUUGCGUCAAGAAAUUGAAAAACAAAAAUUGAUUUAUUUGUUACUUAUAAAAUAAUUGAGAUCAUGCAUGGAAUUGCAUCUCAUCAAUUCUUCAUGAAGAAUUGGCUUGUAAGAAAUUGAUAUUUUUAAAUAUUUAAUUAGAAAUAUGUAAUAUUUACUAAGUUGAUUACAUUUCUUCUUUAAUUUGGUUUAGGUUUCUAAAAUUAUUAGUUCUCAAAUAUCUUAUUUUAAUUGUAUUAGAUAAGAAUAUAUAUAUAUAUAUAUAUAUAUAUAAUUAUCAUUUUCACGAUAUUGUUAAAUUACUCAUUUCUAGAAUUUUUAUUAUGUUAACAAAUGUUAAUAGUUUGAAAUAUUUGAAAAUAUGUUCAUUACCAUUUUUUUUGGUCAAAUUAUUAGUCUUGAAAUAUUUUUAUCAUAAUUAUAUAAAAUAAAAGCAAAUAUAAUAAACUUAAAGCAAAUAUAAUAAACUUAACACUUAAGAACAUUUAGAUAUCACUUUAAACAAAUAUAUUAUUCAAAGUCAUCCAUCUAGGUAUUACAUAAAUGAAGUUAUAGUUAACAUUCAUAUUAAAAAAUAAAUAAAUGUUACCUAGUAGUACGACAUAACCACACCAUUGUAGCUGAACUUUUCUUCUCUAAGUAGACUUCUUAUGAAAACUUUAUUUAUUUUUAGACUGCAUUCAAAUAAGGAUGUAUUGUGAAUUAAUUAGUAACUAGUAAAAUUUGCUUGUACUGUUUAUUAUUAUUAAAAGAGAUUUCUUACUUAUCAAUUAAAAUUACAGAUGUUGAUAUGAACAUAAAAUUCCCUUUUCAACUACAUGCAUUUCUAAUCAAGAUUUUUGUUGUUUUCAAUAGAGUGGAAUAGUCAUUGGUUUACUAGUUCUUAUCAAUAAUUGUUUUCAAGAAUCUAGACCCAAUAUUCAUAUCAUCAAUGGUAGCCAUCAAUUAUCCUAGUUGACGUGAGGGGUCUAAUCAAGGUGAAGUGUAUAUGAGCUUCAUGUAUUAAAUCUUACUAUUAAAAUAGAAAGUGAGGAUUGAAUCCAUUGUAUUAAGGCUAAGUAGUAGCCAUUACAAUGGUGGAACCUAGAUUUUUUUUUUCCUUUUUAAAAGGUAAAAUUUGUAUUGAAACUUCAUCUAUGUCAAGGCAUAGCACAAAUGAAGGGUGGCAUGCUUUCAAGUAGAAAUAAAAUAGAAUUUCAUUUUCUAAAUAGGUUAUUUUACCAUUGUUGUAAAUAAUUUCUUUUACUUCUUCCUUCCCAAGAGUCAAGAACUCCAGGAUAAUUGCUUCACAAUAUUUCCCAUCCAAUCAUUCCCAUCAAUUCUUCAUGAAGAAUUGGCUUGUAAGAGACUGAUUUUUUUUUUUUAAGUAUUUAAUUAGAAACAUGCAAUAAAAUGAUUAUACUUUUUCUUUAAUUUGGUUUAGGUUUCUAAAAUCAUUACUUCUCAACUAUCUUAUUUUAAUUAUAUCAAAUAAAAAUAUAUAAUUAUUAUUUCUUAAGAUGGUACUGUUAAAUUACUAAUUUUUAAAAUAUUUAUUAUUGUAACACAUGUUAAUAUUUUGGAAAAGAAAUUAUUACUAUUUUUUUUUCAAACAAUUAGUCUUGAAAUAUUUUUUUAAUUAUAAAAAAUAGAAACAAAUAUGAUAAUUAUUUUUGUAUAGAUAAUGAUACUUAAUUAGUAAUUUUUAGAUAUUCGUAGCAUGUAAAAAAAAAAAAGUAGACUUGACAUUUAAGAACAUUUAGAUACCACUUUAAGCAAAUAUAUUAUUCAAAGUUAUACAUCUAGCUCUCCUAGAUUUAAGUUAAAUAAAUGAAGUUAUAGUCGAAAUUCAUAUUAAAAAAUAAAUGUUACCUAAAAUUAAUUCCUAUGAUAUUGUAGUGGAACACAAUUUUUUUUUUCCUUUAAGUAGAAUUAUAUGAAAACUUCAUUUAUUUUUAGUGUAUAUUAAAAUAAUGAUUUGUUUUGAAUUAAUUAAGAAACUAAAAAAAUUAUUUGUACUCUUUAUUAUUAUUAAAAAAUAUUUCUUACUUAUCAAUUAAAAUUAUAUAUUUACAUAUGAAUAUAAAGUUCCCUUUCCAAUUGCAUGUUUUUAGUCAAGACUUUUGUUGUCUUUGAUAGAAUGGAAAAGUCAUUGCAUUCCUAAUUUUCUUAUCAACAAUUGUGUGGAAAAGUUAUUGCAUUCCUAAUUUUUGUCAACAAUUGUGUGCAAAAGUCAUUGCAUUCUUAAUUCUUUUGCACAAUUGUUUUCAAAGAAUCUACAUCUAAUAUUUACAUUAUCAAUGGUAUAUGUCAAUGAUCCUAAUUCAUGUGAGUGGUCUAAUUGGAGUGAAGUAUAUAUCAACCUCAUUUAUUAAAUCUUAGUAUUAAAAUAAAAAGUAGCGCUUGAAUACAUUGUAUCAAGGCUUUAGGAACAACAUUAUUAAUGCUGGGAAUCUAAAUCAAAUGAAAAGAUUUCUUAUUUGUCAAUUUAAAUUACAUAUUUAGAUAUGAAUAUAAAGUUUUCUUUCCAAUUGCAUGCUUUUAGUCAAGACUUUUACCGUCUUUAAUAGGGUGGAAAAUUUGUUGCAUUCCUAAUUCAUAUCUACAGUUGUAUGGAAAAGUCAUUGCAUUCCUAAUUCUUGUCAACAAUUGUGUGGAAAAGUCAUUGCAAUUAAAUACACUGUAUCAAGGCUUGAGGAAUGACAUUAUUAAUGCUGGGAAUCAAAUCAAUUGAAAAGAUUUCUUAUUUGUCAAUUAAAAUUACAUAUUUAAAUAUGAAUUUAAAGUUUUCUUUCCAAUUGCAUACUUUUAGUCAAGACUUAUACCGUCUUUAAUAAGGUGGAAAAUUUGUUGCAUUCCUAAUUCAUAUCAACAAUUGUGUGGAAAAGUCAUUGCAUUCCUAAUUUUUGUCAACAGUUGUGUGGAAAAGUCAUUGCAUUCUUAAUUCAUAUCAACAAUUGUGUGGAAAAGUCAUUGCAUUCCUAAUUCUUAUCAAUAAUUGUUUUCAAGGAAUCUAUACCUAAUAUGCACAUUAUCAGUGGUAGACGUCAAAUGCAAAUAAUUUCUUUUGCGUCUUGAAGAUUUUUACUUCAUAAUGUUGAGCAAAGAUGCAUCUAUUUAAGAGUGGUUUGUACUUUUUAUAAUAGGUAUUGUGAAAAAGGAUAUCUUCAAAAUGUAAAUUUUGUUAAUUUUUUCAAAUAAUAUUGCAUUAUUUUAAUUCAAUUUUCAAGUUAAUUAAAAGUGAAACUUAGAUCAAGGAUUGGACAUAAUAACAACAUUUCCUAUUAAUAGAUUUAAUAAUAAAAAAGAUGAGUUUUUUUUUUCAAAUAUAUAUACGUCAAAAGAGAAUUUAUGUUAUGUUUUUCUUAAAAAAGAAAAGUUUCAUGACUGAAUAUACCACUCAAUUCAAUUCAAAAAACUUAUUUUUGAAUAUUUGUGGUUUAGUUCAAUUCCAUGACUAAAUAAUUGGCCAUGUUUAUUGGGAUUUAAAGUCUUGGUCAAACUUGAUGUAAUAUUUUAACUGCCAAUGAAAAAUAAAUAAAGUGAUAAAUUGACUAAGAGUCCAUUUGGAAAGUAGGGCCAAAAAUGGCUUCAAAUUCUUAAAGAUUAUGUUUUACUAAAAAUUAAUCAUUUGAAAAAAAAAAUUGUAAUCAUUUUAAAGUUAUAAAACAAUCGAGGGUACUUCUUAAAUAAAGACUUGAUAAAUACUUUUAAAAGACAUUAUAAAAAACUCGUGAAAAAUAUUUGAAUUUCAAAUAAAUGUUCUUGUUAAAAUAAAAAAAAAGAAUACAUUUUUCAAGCAUUUUUAUUAAAAAGACUUUCAAAUAUAUUUUUACUUGAUAUCCUUGAAUUGUUAAUACGAUUGUGAACUCCAUUUAAUUUUUUUUCUUUAAAAAGUUGGGCAAAUCAUAAAAAAUGGUAGGUCAUGUGUGAUAAUUCUUUUCAAGGAUCACCAUGUUUACAAGUUCAUGUUAGUCCUCAAGUAAUGAUUUAAAAGUUGACAAUUUCAUAAUUCUAAUUAUACCCUCUUUUAUAUUUUCCUCUUAUUCCCAUUCAACUUUACUUUCCUUUUUUUUUUUCUUUUAUAAUUUUUUUACUUAUUUUUGUUAUGAGGUAUUAAUAUUAUUGUUUAGAUAUUAGUAGAAUUAUUCAUGUUAUUAUUAAUAUCAUUCUUAUUAAUAUUAUUUAUUAUUUUUAUAAUUAUUAUGGACUUUAUUAUUCAUAUUUUUAAUAUUAUAGUAAAAAUAAUAUUAUUAUAUUUUUAUCAUUAGUACUACAAAGAAACCUGGAAGAUAAUUUAUAUUUUUUUUAAUUCUUAAGGCUUGUAAGCUUUAUUAAAAAAUUAUUUAUUUAUUUAUUUAUUUAUUUUGCCUUUUAUGCUUUAUAUGCUACAUUAAGACUAAUUAAAUUAUUAUUGCCACCCCAUUAAUAUUAUUAUUUAUGAUAUUAGUUUUAUAUAAUUAAUAAAACUAAUAUUAUAUCAAAGUUAUAGAUAUGACAAAAAUGCAUUGAUCUUACAACAUUAAUACUUUAAAUAUAUAAUAUAUUACGACAUAACCUAAUUUUAUUUUAAUUCUUUUUUUAAACAAACACCUGUGAAUACUUGCUCUAUACUCCUUAAAAUUUUCUAAAUGGCUUCAAAAUGUAAGCACAACAUUUAUAUAUUGUACUUAAAACAUAAAUACGCUAAAAUAUGAUGCAUUAUGACAAGCCUUAAGUUUACUUUUUAACAAUUAUAAAAACAAAUAUUUUUAUUGUAAUAUUUUCUUAAUAGUUCUAUUACAAAAUUAAACAUUUUUAAAUUGAUGAAAUCUAUAUAAUAAAAAUUAUAAUAGCUUUAUAUUUUUAAUUAUCAAAAUGAAACAAUAAUUUGUAAAUUUAAUAUAUUAUGAUUAUUAUUAUUAUUAUUAUUAUGGAUAAGUUAUUGAUAAUAUUUUUAAAAUUGUAAUUAAUAAAAUUGUAAUUUAUAAUUAAUGUUUAUAUUAUUUAUAUGGAUUGAUAUUAAUAAUAUUAUUACUUGAUAGCUUAAUAAUAAUAAUAAUAAUAAUAAUUAGAAAAGAAAAAGAGAAAAUAGAGAAAAGAGGGAUAUGCUUGGUUUUAAAGUGGAAAGAGUCAGAGUAUACUUAACUUUUUGUAUUUUGAGGCAUAUGGAAGACUUAUCAAAGUUGAUGACCUUUUUGGGACAUUAUCACCUAUAACUCAUCCUAUAUGGAAAUUUUCCCUAAAAUGUUUUACUAAUGGGUUUAAAAUCCCUCCUUAAAGCACAUGAGGAUAUUUAUGAACUAUUUGAAUGGAAAUUGGAGUUAAACUCAACCAUGAGAGUGACUUAGUUUAGUGGAAUAUAUAGUUAGAAGAUAAAUCUAACCCAACUCUCUCUUUACCUAUAAGACAAAACUCAUUUCUUUGUAUACUGAGAUGCAAAAAUUGCAUAUAAAUAGGCUCUUUUUAGUUAAAAUUGUGUUCCAUGAUCAUAUCACAGAUUAAGUUAAAUAAGAAGUAAAAAUUUCUAAAUUAAUUUUUUUAUUAAAAUGAUUUCUUAACUGUGAAGUAAAUUAAUCUUACAUAUGUAUGUAAAAAAAAAUUUACUUUUAUUCUUAUUAAAAUAGGUGGAGGUGUUUAAUAAUUCUCCUUAUCAAAUCCUAGUCCUAACCCUAAUUCUAAUCAUAAUUAUUUCUCAUUUCUUUUUUUUCCUUUUCUUCCAUUCUAUUAUAUUUAAAUACUUAAAUUAAAUCAUUAACUCAAUUUAUCAUAUUCAUCUUAACGUGAAAAACUUUUAAACCACUUAGUGAAUCCCCUCUGUUCAUUAUUCAUGAUUGAUUGAUUAAUGUAAAGAUAACAAUACUGUUUAUAUGUAAUUUAGAGACUCUCACCCUAGACUUAUACAUAUCAAUUGCUAUUAGAAAAAAAUAAAUAAAUAAGCACAAAAACAAAUUAAUUUUAAAACUAAAAAAUAUUUAUUUGUACUUUUAUUACUAUUAAAACAUAUUUCUUACUUGUCAAUUAAAAUUACAUAUUUACUUAAAGUUCCCUUUCCAAUUGCAUGUUUUUAGUAAAGACUUUUGUUGUCUUUGAUAGGGUGGAAAAGUCAUUGCAUUCCUAAUUUUUUUUAUCAACAAUUGUGUGGAAAAGUUGUUGCAUUCCUAAUUUUUGUCAACAAUUGUGUGCAAAAAGUCAUUGCAUUCUUAAUUCUUUUGCACAAUUGUUUUCAAAGAAUCUAUAUCUAAUAUUUACAUUAUCAAUGGUAUAUGUCAAUGAUCCUAAUUUAUGUGAGUGAUAUAUGUCAACUUCAUUUAUUAAAGCUUAGUACAAAAAUAAAAAGUAGCAAUUGAAUAAAUUGUAUCAAGGCUUUAGGAAGGACAUUAUUAAAGUUGGAAAUCUAAAUCAAUUAAAAAGAUUUCUUACUUGUCAAUUUAAAUUACAUAUUUAGAUAUGAAUAUAAACUUUUCUUUCCAAUUACAUGUUUUUAGUCAAGACUUUUUUCCGUCUUUAAUAAGGUGGAAAAGUUGUUGCAUUCCUAAUUCAUAUCAACAGUUGUGUGGAAAAGUAGUUGCUUUCCUAAUUUUUGUCAACAAUUGUAUGGAAAAGUCAUUGUAAUUGAAUACAUUGUAUCAAGGCUUGAGGAACAACAUUAUUAAUGCUAGGAAUCUAAAUCAAUUAAAAAGAUUUCUUAUUUUUUUAAUUACAAUUACAUAUUUAGAUAUGAAUAUAAAAUUUCCUUUCCAACUGCAUGUUUUUAGUCAAGACCUUUUUUGUCUUUGAUAGGGUGGAAAAGUCAUUGCAUUUCUAAUUUUAUCAAUAUGUAAUUGCGUGGAGAAGUUGUUGCAUUCCUAAUUCUUGUCAACAAUUGAAUGCAAAAGUCAUUGCAUUCUUAAUUCAUAUCAACAAUUGUGUGGGAACGUGGUUGCAUUCCCAAUUCUUGUCAACAAUUGUGUGGAAAAGUCAUUGCAUUCCUAAUUCUUAUCAACAAUUGUUCUCAAGGAAUCUAUAGCUAAUAUUCACAUUAUCAAUGGUAGACGUCAAUUGCAAACAAUUUCUUUUGUUUCUUGAUUUGCAAGACUCAAGAACUUGUAGAUUUUUACUUCAUAAUGUUGAACAAAGAUGCAUCUAUUUAAGAGCGGUUUGUGCUUUUUAUAAUAGGUAUUAUGAAAAAGGACAUGUUCAAAAUGUAAAUUUUGUUAAUUUUUUCAAAUAAUAUUGCAUUAUUUUAAUUCAAAUAAAGAAAAAAUGGUUUAAAAUACUCAAAAAUAUGUUUUACUAAAAAUUAAUCAUUUGAAAAAAAAAUUAUUGCUAAAAAAAAAAACACUACUUGGAGUGCUUCUUAUUGGAUAAACACUUGACGAUUAUUUCUUUUAAAAGAUAAAAAAAGUAUGAAAAAUACUAAUAUGUUAUAUAAAUAUUCAUUUUACAAAAAUACACUGUUCUAGUAUUUUUAUUAAAAACAAAGUAAAGAGGACAAUAUCUUCUAUAUGUAAUUUAAAUACUCUCAUCUAGACUUAGCUAUUAUAAAAAACAAAAACUUAAUGCACAAAAAUUGGAAUGAGGAAGUAAAAAUAAUGAUGAAAAUAUUAGUUUUGAUAGAUAUACUAGUAACUCGAUUUUACAGAUAUAUCAAGAUAUAUCGGAAAAUAUCGGUGUAACAAAAAUUGAUCAAAACUCAUUAAAAUGUUAAGAAAAAAUUAUAAAAAAAAAUGAUAUAAGAAGUAAUAAUUAAUAUUUUAAAGUUGUUUUGUUAAAGAAAUUAUUAUAUAUAUGAUAUAUUUUUUUUGUAUUUGAUAAUAAUGUUGUGUGCACCAAUAAAAAAUAUAAAUUUUAUAAAUAUACAUUCAUUACUGAGUUACAUUAAAUAUUAUUAGACAAUAAUAUUGUGACAUUUUAUUAUAGUAUAUCUAACUUCAAAAUAUAAUUAAUAUUAAAAUUAUGAUCCAUUUAAUUCAAUUAUAUUCAAUGAUAUAAAAUAAAUGAUAAUAUAUGAAUAAAUUUUUUAAUAUUUAUGUUUUUUUAUAUUUAAUUAAUAUAUAAAUGAGAUAUCUUAAGAAAAUUAUCACAAUAGUUUUUAUAUUUUUAGUGAUUAAUUAAAUGAAAUUUUAAAAUAAGAUGAUUAAAAUUAAUUUAUUUAUUAAAAUAUUCUUUGAAUGUUUUGCUUUUAUGAUGCAUUUUAGGUUUUUUUUUUUUUUUUUUUGGGUGCACUAAGUAUAAUAAAAGGGCAGGUUUGCCCAGUGGUGAAGCAAGGUUACUUUUGGACAUUUUGUCUUGACCAGUCUCAACACCUACCACAAGCCAACUUUAGGAUCAUAAAUAAUAGAUGAAAAAUAAUUAUUACAGUAAUAAUGAGGUUGUCAUUUUAUUUAAUUAAUCAACUAUUCUAGUUGUGGAAUGUACUAUGCAUAGGUUCCAUGAAUUAAAUUAUUGUAUAAAAUGUCUCAUAAGAAAAAUGCCGCUUGGCUUACUAUUUAUAAAUUUUUUUUAAUUAAUUAAAUUGUAUAAAUAAUUAUGAGUCCAAUAGGAUAUAUUUUUUUAUUUUAUAUUUAAAAAAAAAACAUUAACUUCUAUAUAAAAUAUAAAAAGUCUUAUGGUCUUAUAUGAAAAAUGCAGUGAUUUAUUUAAAUUGAUUAAAAAAUUGAGAGAUUAAAAAAAUUUUAUUACCUCAAAUUUUAAUAUAUAUUUUUAGAAAAAUAGAAACAUAAGGUAAAUUCAUACUUUUUAUAUAAAAUUUUUUAUUUUUUAUAUAAAAGUUUUUAUUUUCAAAAACAAAAAAAGAAAAAGAAAAUAUAUCUAAAUGAAGUUUAAAUACUUAAAUUAAAUAUAAUAAAUAAUGACAUUUUACUUAAACCAAUAAUUAAAAGUGAUAAUAAAAAACUUAUAAAUAAAAAAUUAUACUUAAUAAAGAGAUUUAAGAGUAAUUAAUUCCAAAGAAAUUUGAAACAAAGACCAAGUCAUGUCAUUCGUGGGGAUCCGACACAUGUUUAGUGUAUGGCUCAAGUUUGUCCAAGUGCUGUCAAAUAAUAAAUAUAUUAUCAACUUAACAAUCGAAAUAAUUGCUUGGGCUUUACCCAUUCAAAAGUCUUUGCCCAGCAUCAAGUCUAAGUUUGUCCACGUACUCUCAAACAAGAAAUUUAUUGUCGACUCAACAACUCUCUGAUUACAAAAAACAAUGGAAAUAAUUUGUCCUUGCUUGGCCCAUUUUUAAAGUCUUUGGCCAGCGUCAAGUCAACUCGAAAAGAGUGUAAUCAUGUUCCUAUAUUUGCUUCUCAAAAAUACGAAGGAAAAAAAAAAUUACAAUGAAAUAAUUUUCCCAUAUUUUAUUAUACUAUAAAAAAAUAUAUGAUAAUUAUAUUUUUAUCUUAUUCAAUAAUAAUAUUAUAUAUAUAUCAUUAAAAAAAUAUAAAUUUUAUAAAUAUACAUUAAUUAUUAAAUUAAAUUAAAUAUUAUUAGACAAUAAUAUGUUUAACUUUAAAAUAUAAUUAAUAUUAAAAUUACGAUUCAUUUAAUUCAAUUAUAUUUAAUGAUAUAAAAUAAAUAAAAAUAUAUGUAUACAUUUUAUUUUAAUAUUUAUGUUUUUUAUAUUUAAUUAAUAUAUAAAUGAUAUAAAAAAAUUUCUUAAAAAAAUUAUCACGGUAGUUUUAAAAAAAUCUCUUAAAAAAUCAGUUUAAGAAAACAAAGACAAACAAUUGAAAAUAAUUAAAAUAUGUUACAUAAAAUAUCAUCUUUAGUGUUUUUUUUAAGAAUAAAAAACUAUAUAUAUAUAUAUAUAUAUAUAUAUGUGAUACUAUAUUUUAAGAGAAUAUCUUUUGGUUAUUUUUAGUUAUUUUCACUUGUUUUUUGAAAUAUAUUUUAAAAAAUAAUUAUAUAAAUAUGGGGAAUUAUUAAAAAUAAAACAUUAUAGAUAAAAAUUUAUUUUAAAACUAUAUUAAAAAAUAUAGAAAAUAUGUUAAAAACGUUUCAUAUUUUCAAACCAGCUUUGUUCUAUAAAACAUUAAAGAAUAAUUUUCUAAAAAUUGUUUUUCAAAAUUAUUUUUAAAAAAAAAUACUUUCCAAACAAAACCUUAACAAUUCUCUUUAUCAAAUUCUAAUUCCAACUCUAAUCCUAAUCAUAAUUAUUUUCCUUGUCUUUCCUUUCCUUUUUUUUCCUUCCCUUCUAUUCCCUAAUUAUAUAUAAGUAUUUAAAUUAAGACAUUAAAUCAGUUUAUCAUAAGCAUCAUGUCAAUGACUUUUAAACCACUUGGUGGAUCCACUCAUCCAUCAUUCAUGAUGGAUUAAUCCACGGAAAGAUAACAACAUCUUCCUAGACUUGUACAUGUGGAUAGCUAUUAGAAAAAAAAAAACAAAAUUUAAUGCACAAAAAUUGGGAUGAAGAAAUAAAAGAAACUCAUCAAUGGUUACAACUGGUACGUGAAUGAAUAGAUGGAAGAGAACACAACAACCAAUCAUAAAUAAGAGAUGAAAAACAAUUAUUAUAGCAAUAAUGAAGCUGUCCUUUUGUUUAAUUAAUCAACUGUUCAAACUGGGGAUGUACCAUAAAUGGGACCAUGAAUUAAAUUAUUGUAUAAAAUGUCUCAUAAGAAAAAUGUUGCUUCACUUACUUUCAAUACAUUUUUUUAAUUAAUUAAGUUUUAUAAAUAAUUAAGAGUCCAUUAGGAUGGAUUUUUUAUUUUCUAUUUUAAAAAAUAAAAAAUAAGGAUAAAUUCCAUAUAAAAUAUAAAAAGUUUUAUAAUCUUAUAUAAAAAAAAUGCAAUGGUUUUUUUUAAAAUUGAUUAAAAUUUUGAGAUAUUAAAAAACAUUAUCGCCUCAAAUUUUGAAAUUUAUUUAAAAAAUUUAGAAACAUAAACUAAGUCUAUAUUUUUUAUAUAAGAGUUUCUAUUUUUUAUAUAAAAAUUUUUAUUUUUAAAAAUAAAAAACUAAAAAUAUCUAUAUAAAUAAAGUGUUAAUACUUAAAUAAAAUUGAUCAAAUAAUAACAUUUUACUUAAACCAAUACUUAAAAGUGACAAUAAAAAACUCAUAAAUAAAAAAAGAAUACUUAGUAAAAGAUUUAAGACUAAUUAAUUUUUUUAAAAAAAAUUGAAACAAAGACCAAGUCAUAUCAUUCAUUGAGAUCCGACAUAGUUUGUCUAAGUAUUGUCAAAUAAUAAAUUUAUUAUUUGACUAAGUACAAUAAAUUUAUUAUCAACUCAACAACUCGUACCAAAACAAUUGAAAUAAUUGUCCAUGUCGGACCCAUUUUAAAGUCCUUUCCUAAGGUCCAAAUUUGUCUACAUACUGCCAAAUGAUAAAUUUAUUAUUAACUCAAUAACUCUCUGAGUACAAAAACAAUCAAAAUAGUUGUCCGAACUAUUUUAAAGUCUUUGCCCAACAUCAAAUCAACUCGAAAAAUGUGUAAUAAUGUUCCUAUAUUUGCUUCUAAAAAAUUGUCAAGGAAAGAAAAAAAAUAUUGCAAUCAAAUAAUUUUCUCAUGUUUUAUUAUACCACUAAAAAUAAUUUAUCAACACUCAAGUGAACUUAGUGGUGCACCCAACUUUUUUUCUUUGUUUAAAAAAAAAAGAAGAAAUUUUUAGGAUAUGAAUGAAAAAUAUAAAAUAAGGUUAAAGUUUUGAUAGGAUGAGAGGCAGUCAGAGGUUGCCGAACAAAGUAUUUUUGUCAUUUCAUAUCUAAUAUUUAUGUGAAAAAAAAAAAAAUUAGGGUAGGAAGAUUUAGGUCCAAUUUUGAUAAUUGUUUUUUAUAAUAGUUUCUUAAAAUUAUUUUAUGAUGUUUAAUAGAAUACUUGUAUGAUUAUGAAUGCAAAAUGUUUUAACAUAUUUUCUAUAUUUUAAAAAUAAAUUUUGUAUGUACUAUUUUAGUUUUAAUUAUUUUUUAUAUUUAUAUAAUUAUUUUUUAAGACAACUCAAGAAAAUAAGGGAAAAUAAUUGAAAGUAAAUAAAUAAUGUUAUCUGAAAAAUAUCAUAUUUUAUGUUUUUAAGAACAAAAAAUUAUUUUCUAUUCUUAAAAAUAGAAAAGAAAUAGAAAGUAUAAUACCAUAUUUUUAGAGAACAUCUUCUAGUUAUUUUUUGUUGUUUUUACUUGUAUUUUGAAGGUUAUUUUAAAAAAUAAUUAUAUAAAUAUGUAAAAUGAUUACAAAUAAAGCAUUAUAAAUAAAAAGAAAAUUAUUUUAAAAACAUAUUGAAAAAUAUAAAAAUAGGUUAAAAAAAUUUCAUGUUCUCAAAUAUACUUUGUUUUAUAAAACAUUAAAGAGAUAUUUUAAAAAAACACUUUCCAAAUAAAACCUUAAUAAACCUCUUUAUCAAAUCCUAAUCCUAACUCCAAUUCUAAUCAUAGUUAUUUUCCUUCUCUUUCAUUUCCUUUCCUUUUCUUUACUUCUAUUAUCUUCUUAUACAUAAAUAUUUAAACUAAGAUAUUACAUCAAUUUAUCAAACCCAUCUUAAGGAUCGUGUCAACAACUUUGGAUCCACUCAUCCAUCAUUGAUGAUGGAUUGAUCCAAGGAAAAAUAACAAUAUCUUCUCUACGUAAUUUAAGUCAUCGCCCCUUAGACUUGUACAAGUGAAUAACUUUUAGGAAAAAAAGAAAAAAAAAUUUAAUGCACAAAAAAUGGGAUGACGGGGGAAAGGAAACUCAUGCAUGUUCAUAGCUGUUACAUGAAUAGAUUGAAGAGCACACAAAAACAAUUAUUACAACAAUAAUGGAGUUGUCCUUUUGUUUAAUUAAUCAAGUAUUCAAGUUGGGGAAUGUACUAUACAUGGGACCAUAAAUUCAUUUAUUGUACAAAAUGUCUCAGAAUAAAAAUGUUACUUGGCUUACUGUUUUUACAUUCUUUUUUAAUUAAUUAAGUUGUAUAAAUAAUUAUGUGUCCAUUUGGAUAGAUUUUUUAUUUUCUAUUUUUAAAAAUAAAAAAUAACAAUAACUUCUAUAUCAAAUAUAAGAAGUCUUAGAAUCUUUUGUAAAAAAUGCAGUGAUUUUUUUUUAAAAAAAAUUGAGAUGUUAAAAAGUUUUAUCACCUCAAAUUUAAUUUAAAAAAAAAAACAAAUAGGAGCAUUAGACAAGUCUAAACUUUUUAUAUAAAAAAAAUCUAUUUUUUUUAUAUAGAAAUUGCUAUUUUAAAAAACAUAAAACAAAAAAUAUAUUUAAAUGAAACAUAAAUACUUCAAUAAAAUUUAUCAAAUAAUGACAUUUUACAUAAACCAAUAAUUAAAAUGAUAAUAAAAAAACUUGUAACAAAAAAUUAGACAUAGUAACGAGAUUUAAGACUAAUUAAUUUCAAAGAAAUUGGAAACAAAUGAUCAAGUCAUGUCAUUCGUGGGGAGAUCUGACACAUGUUUAGUGUAUGGGGGUGGAGUUAGAAAUAGGAUUCAAGGGGGCAAUACGAGAUAUAUUAGUUUUUCGAGGUUAAAUGUGAGCCAAAAAGUAACAUUUAACUUGCUGGUUGGUUUGAUCCUCUUUAAAAUUGAGGUUUUGGGAUCAAAAUCUCAUUGAAUGGUAGUUCUUUUAUUUUUUAGAGAGGGGGCAUCUACUCUGCUUGAGCCCUUUAGACCCAUUUUAAAGUCUUUGCCCAACAUGAAGUCAACUUUAUAUUUGUUUUGAAAAAAUAUUAUAUUCAGAUUACUUCAAGAAAGCUCAAGAGACCUAAUUAUUUAUUAUGAACUAAAGCGAUGAUGGUGUAUAUUGAGACAAAAUAAAAACUAAAACAUAUCAUAGAAUAUCCUUCUCCAUAGAAAGUUUUGAUGAGUAGCAACAAGAUGAUCAUGAUAGUAACAUGGUUGUGGAACAAUAUGAAAUCUUAUGUUAGUGUUAAUUUCAUGUUCUUAGAAACUGUAAAGCAAAUAUGAGGAGUAGUGAAAGAGACAUACUUUCAAGAAUUUAUUAAUUGUAUGAAGAUAUUUUUGGGACAGAGCAUAAUGAGAAAUCUAUGAGUAAGCACUAUGCAUCCCUUAAAGGGAUGUGGGACUAGACAGGGAAUCUACCAUACAUGGACCCAUAAAUUAAAUUAUUGUACAAAAUGUCUCAUAAGGAAAAUGUUACUUGCCUUAGUAUUUAUACAUUUGUUUUUAAUCAAUUAAGUUGAACAAAUUAUUAAGAGUCCAUUAGGAUUAUUUUUUUUAUUAACUUCCAUAUAAAAUAUAAGAAGUCUUAGAAUCUUAUGGUUUUUUUAAAAUUGAUUAAAAAAAUUUAUCACCUCAAAUUUCAAUUUUUUUUUUUAAAAUAGAAAUAUAAUGAAAGCCUAUAUUUUUUUAUAUAAGAAUUUCUAUUUUUUAUAUAAAAGUUUCUAUUUUUAAAAACAAAAAAAGAACAAAAAAUAUAUUUAGAUGAAGUGUAAAUACUUAAAUAAAAUUUAUCAAAUAAUGAUAUUUUACUUAAAUCAAUAAUUAAAAGCGAUAAUAAAAAACCUCAUAAAUAAAAAAGUAUAUUUAAUAAAGAGAUUUAAAACUAAUUAAUUUCAAAGAAAUUUGAAGCAAAGGACCAAGUCAUGUCAUUCACGGGGAUCCAACACAUGUUUAGUGCAUGCCCAAGUUUGUCCAAGUACUAUCAAAUAAUAAAUUUAUUAUCAACUUAACAACUCUUUAUUAAAGUCUUUGUCCAACAUGAAGACUAAGUUUGUCAAAGUACUGUCAAAUAUUAAAUUUAUUCUCAACUCAACAACUCCCAAAGUAAACAUUCGAAAUAAUUGCCCCUGCUGAAAAAUAUGUAAUCUUAUUCCUAUAAUUGCUCCAUAAAUUAUUAAGGAAAUAAAAAAAAUUUGCUAUAAAAUAAAUUUCUCAUAUUUUAUUAUACUAUUAAAAUUAAUUGGUCAGCACUUAGCAGUUAAUCUAAUCGUGCACCCCAAAUUUUUUUCUAUGUUCCAAAAAAAAGAAAAAAAAAAAAAAAACAAGAAGAAGAAGAAGAAGAAAUUUUUAGGAGAAUAGAAGGAAAUGAAUGAGAAAAAAAAGAAGGUAAAAUAAGAUCACGGUUUAGUCGGGAUGAGAGUUGAGAGGCUGAAGAACAAAGUAUUUUUUUCAUUUCAUAUCUAAGAAUUGUAUGAAAAAUAAAAUAAAAUAAAAUAAAGCUGAGGGUGAGAAGAUUUAGGUCUCGUUGAUAAUUGUUUUUUAAAAUAGUUUUUUAGAAUAGAUCUUUAAAACUGUUUUAUGAUAUUUUGUAGAACACAUAUAUGUUUGGGAAUGUCAAAUUUUUUAAACAUGCUUUUUAUGUUUUAAAUAUAAUUUAAAAAUAAAUUUUGUAUGUAACAUUUUAGUUUUAAUUAUUUUUCAUGUUUGUGUAAUUAUUUUUUAAAACAACUUAAGGAAAGAAGGGAAAACAAUUGAAAAUAACUAAAAAAAUGUUAUUCAAAACAUCAUAUUUUCAGUGUUUUUUUUUAAGAACCAAAAACUAUUUUCUAUUUUUAAAAACAUAAAAGAAGCAAAAAAAAUAUAUGACACUAUAUUUUAAGAGAACAUCUUUUGAUUAUUUUUAGUCGUUUUUAUUUGUUUUUUGAAAUCUAUUUUAAAAAAUAAUUAUAUAAAUAUAGAGAAUGAUUAAAAAUAAACAUUAUAGAUAAAAAAAUAUUUUAAAACUAUAUUUAAAAAUAUAAAAAAUAAAUUAAAAACAUUUCAGAUUUUCAAACAAAUUUUGUUCUAUAAAACAUUAAAGAAUACUUUUCUAAAAACUAUUUUUCAGAAUUAUUUUUAAAGAACAAUUUCCAAACAAAACCUUAACAAUUAUCUAUAUCAAAUUCUAAUCCCAACUCUAAUCCUAAUCUUAAUUAUUUUCCUUGUCUUUCCUUCCCUUCUUUUUCCUUCCCUUCUAUUCCCUUAUUAUAUAUAAGUAUUUAAAUUAAGACAUUAAAUCAGUUUAUCAAACCCAUCUUAAUCAAUCAGUUUAUCAUAAGCAACAUGUCAAAGACUUUUAAACCACUUGGUGGAUCCACUCAUCCAUCAUUCACGAUGGAUUAAUCCAUGGAAAGAUAACAACAUCUUCUUAGACUUGUACAUGUGGAUAACUAUUAGAAAAAAAAAAUUUAAUGCACAAAAAUUGGGAUGAAGAAAUAAAAUAAACUCAUCAAUGGUUACAGCUGGUACAUGAAUGAAUAGAUGGAAGAGAACACAACAUCCAAUCACAAAUAAUAGAUGGAAAACAAUUAUUAUUGUCCUUUUGUUUAAUUAAUCAACUAUUCAAGUUGGGGGAUGUACCAUACAUGGGACCAUGAAUUAAAUUAUUGUACAAAAUGUCUCAUAAGAAAAAUGGUGCUUCCCUUACUUUCUAUACAUUUGUUUUUAAUUAAUUAAGUUACAUAAAUAAUUAAGAGUCCAUUAGGAUGGAUUUUUUGUUUUCUAUUUUAGAAAAUAAAAAAUAAGGAUAACUUCUAUAUAAAAUAUAAAAAGUCUUAUAAUCUUAUAUAAAAAAAAUGCAAUGGUUUUUUGAAGUAAGUUUCUCAAUUCUUCAACCAAUUGCAAAACCGAAAUAUCUCUAGCAUUUUUCAACACAGCAUUAAGGCUUUCAACGAUCCCUAUCGUCAUGAUAUUAUAUCUUUUUCCGAUAGAAUAUGAAUGUGCCCAUCGAUCACCUCCUAUAUCCAUCAAAUAUCUUGCUGCUCUUGGGUCAAUCAUCUCUAGUUGUCCAAAUAUAAAAUUAAACUCUGAAACACGAUAAGCAUGGGCAGCAUCAUGAAAUAAUUUAUGAAUUACAAGAUUCUUGAACUUUGUCUUCAAAUUUUGUCCAACAUGAUAAAUGUAGACACCAUGCCUCGCAUGGGGAAAUACUUUAUGUACCGCUUUCUCAAUGCUACCAUGUCGAUCUGAUAUCACAAACAAAUCAUCAAUGUGUCCAAGUGCAUCAUGCAGUUUUUGUAAACACCACUCCCAUGAGGCAUCAUUUUAUGAAUCACCACUCCCAUGAUGGAUUGAUCCAAGGAAAAAUAACAAUAUCUUCUAUAUGUAAUUUAAGUCAUCGCCCCCUAGACUUGUACAAGUGAAUAACUAUUAGGAAAAAAAGAAAAAAAAAAAUUAAUGCACAAAAAAUGGGAUGACGGGGUAAAGGAAACUCAAGCAUGUUCAUAGCUGUUACAUGAAUAGAUUGAAGAGCACACAAAAACAAUUAUUACAACAAUAAUGGAGUUGUCCUUUUGUUUAAUUAAUCAAGUAUUCAAGUUGGGGAAUGUACUAUACAUGGGACCAUAAAUUCAUUUAUUGUACAAAAUGUUUCAGAAUAAAAAUGUUACUUGGCUUACUAUUUUUACAUUCUUUUUUAAUUAAUUAAGUUGUAUAAAUAAUUAAGUGUCCAUAUGGAUGGAUUUUUUAUUUUCUAUUUUUAAAAAUAAAAAAUAACAAUAGCUUCUAUAUAAAAUAUAAGAAGUCUUAUAAUCUUUUGUAAAAAAUGCAGUGAUUUUUUUUUAAAAAAAAAAUUGAGAUGUUAAAAAGUUUUAUCACCUCAAAUUUAAUUUAAAAAAAACAAAUAGGAGCAUUAGACAAGUCUAAACUUUUUAUAUAAAAAAAAUCUAUUUUUUUUAUAUAGAAAUUGCUAUUUUAAAAAACAUAAAACUAAAAAUAUAUUUAAAUGAAACAUAAAUACUUCAAUAAAAUUUAUCAAAUAAUGACAUUUUACAUAAACCAAUAAUUAAAAUGAUAAUAAAAAAACUUGUAACAAAAAAUUAGACAUAGUAACGAGAUUUAAGACUAAUUAAUUUCAAAGAAAUUGGAAACAAAUGAUCAAGUCAUGUCAUUCGUGGGGAGAUCUGACACAUGUUUAGUGUAUGGGGGUGGAGUUAGAAAUAGGAUUCAAGGGGGCAAUACGAGAUAUAUUAGUUUUUCGAGGUUAAAUGUGAGCCAAAAAGUAACAUUUAAUUUGCUGGUUGGUUUGAUCCUCUUUAAAAUUAAGGUCUUGGGAUCAAAAUCUCAUUGAAUGGUAGUUCUUUUAUUUUUUUAGAGAGGGGGGACAUCUGCUCUGUCUGAGCCCUUCAGACCCAUUUUAAAGUCUUUGGUCAUGAAGUCUAUAUUUGUUUUGAAAAAAAAUAUUAUAUUCAGAUUACUUCAAGAAAGCUCAAGAGACCUAAUUAUUUAUUAUGAAUUAAAGCAAUGAUGUUGUAUAUCGAGACAAAGGAAAAACUAAAACAUCUCAUAGAAUAUCCUUCUCCCUAGAAAGUUUUGAUGAGUAGCAAUCAUGAUUCACAAUAGAUUAAUCCAUGGAAAGAUAACAACAUCUUCUUAGACUUGUACAUGUGGAUAGCUAUUAGAAAAAAAAAAAAAAAAUUAAUGCACAAAAAUUGGGAUGAAGAAAUAAAAUAAACUCAUCAAUGGUUACAGCUGGUACAUGAAUGAAUAGAUGGAAGAGAACACAACAUCCAAUCACAAAUAAUAGAUGUAAAACAAUUAUUAUUGUCCUUUUGUUUAAUUAAUCAACUAUUCAAGUUGGGGGAUGUGCCACACAUGGGACCAUGAAUUAAAUUAUUGUACAAAAUGUCUCAUAAGAAAAAUGUUGUUUCCCUUACUUUCUAUACAUUUUUUUUAACUAAUUAAGUUAUAUAAAUAAUUAAGAGUCAUUAGGAUGGAUUUUUUAUUUUCUAUUUUAAAAAAUAAAAAAUAAGGAUAACUUCUACAUAAAAUAUAAAAACUUAUAAUCUUAUAUAAAAAAAUGCAAUAGUUUUUUAAAAUUGAUUAAAAAAUUGAGAUACUAAAAAAAAUUAUCACCUCAAAUUUUGAAAUUUAUUUAAAAAAUUUAGAAACAUAAUCUAAAUUUAUAUUUUUUUUAUAUAAGAGUUUCUAUUUUUUAUAUAAAAAUUUCAUUUUUAAAAAAUAAAAAACUGAAAAAUAUAUAUAAGUAAAGUGUAAAUACUUAAAUAAAAUUUAUCAAAUAAUGACAUUUUACUUAAACCUAUACUUAAAAGUGACAAUAAAAAAACUCAUAAAUAAAAAAAGUAUACUUAGUAAAAGAUUUAAGAUUGAUUAAUUUAAAAAAAAAAAAUUGAAACAAAGACCAAGUCAUGUCAUUCAUUGAGAUCCGACAUAGUUUGUCCAAGUUCUGUCAAAUAAUAAAAUUAUUAUCAACUCAACAACUCGUACGAAAACAAUUGAAAUAAUUGUCCAUGUUGGACUCAUUUUAAAGUCUUUGCCUAGCAUGAGGUCCAAAUUUGUCUAUGGAUCAACUCAAUAACUCUCUGAGUACAAAAACAAUCAAAAUAAUUGCCCGACCCAUUUUAAAGUCUUUGCCCAACAUCAAAUCAACUCGAAAAAUGUGUAAUCAUGUUCCUAUAUUUGCUUCCAAAAAAUGUCAAGGAAAGAAAAAAAAAAUUGCUAUCAAAUAAUUUUCUCAUAUUUUAUUAUACAACUAAAAAUAAUUUAUCAACACUCAACAGUGAACUUAGUCGUGCACCCAACUUUUUUUCUUUGUUUUUUUUAAAAAAAGAAGAAAGUUUUAGGAGAAUAGAAGGAAAUGAAUGAAAAAUAUAAAAUAAGGUUAAGGUUUUCAUAGGAUGAGAGGCACUCAAAGGUUGACGAACAAAGUAUUUUUGUCAUUUCAUAUCUAAGAUUUAUGUGAAAAAAAGAAAGAAGAUGAGGGUAGGAAGAUUUAGGUCCAAUUUUGAUGCUUGUUUUUUAAAAUAGUUUUGAAAAACGGUUUUUGAUAAUAGUUUUUUAAAAUUGUUUUAUAAUGUUUUAUAGAACACUUAUUUGGGAAUGUAAAAUGUUUGAACAUAUUUUCUACAUUUUAAAAAUAAAUUUUGUAUGUACUAUUUUAGUUUUAAUUAUUUUUCAUAUUUAUAUAAUUAUUUUUUAAGACAACUCAAGAAAAUAAGGGAAAACAAUUGAAAGUAAAUAAAUAAUGUUAUCUAAAAAACAUCAUAUUUUUUGUUUUUAAGAAUAAAAUAUUGUUUUCCAUUCUUAAAAAUAGAAAAGAAGUAGAAAAUAUAAUACUAUAUUUUUAGAGAACAUCUUGUAAUUAUUUUUACUUUUUUUUUUAAGUUUAUUUUAAAAGAUAAUUAUAUAAAUAUGUAAAAUGAUUAUCUUUAUCAAAUUUUUUAGAAUUAUUUUUAAAAAACACUUUCCAAAUAAAACCUUAAUAAAUCUCUUUAUCAAAUCCUAAUCCUAACUUCAAUUCUAGUCAUAAUUAUUUUCCUUCUCUUUCCUUUCCUUUCCUUUCCUUUCCUUUCCUUCUCUUCUUAUACAUAAAUAUUUAAACUAAGACAUUACAUCAAUUUAUCAAAUCCAUCUUAAGGAUCAUGUCAACAACUUUUAAACCACUUGGUGGAUCCACUCAUCCAUCAUUGAUGAUGGAUUGAUCCAAGGAAAAAUAACAAUAUCUUCUAUAUGUAACUUAAGUCAUCUCACCAUAGCUAUCAAAGAAAAAAAAAAACAAAAAACAAAAUUUAAUGCACAAAAAUGGGAUGAGGGCGUAUAAGAAACUAAUGAAUGGUUAUACAUGAAUAGAUUGAAGAUAACACAACUACCAUCACAAAUGAUAGAUGAAAAACAAGCAUUACAACAAUAAUGAGCUUGUCCUUUUGCAACUAUUCUUGUUGGGAAAUAUACCACACAUGGGGCCAUGAAUUAAAUUAUUGUACAAAAUGUCUCAUAAUAAAAAUGUUACUUGCCUUACUAUUUAUAUAUUUUUUAAUUAAUUAAGUUGUAUAAAUAUUAAGUGUCUAUUUGGAUAGAUUUUUUAUUUUCUAUUUUUAAAAAUAAAAAAUAACAAUAACUUCAAUAUAAAAUAUAAGAAGUCUUAAGAGUUUUAUAUAAAAAAAAUGAAAUGUUUUUUUUUUUUUAAAAAAAAUGGAUCAAAUAUUUGAGAUAUUAAAAAAGUUUUAUCACCUCAAAUUUAAUUUUUUAUUUUUUAUUUUUAAAAAAUGGGAGCAUAAGACAAGUCUAAACCUUUUUGUAUAAAAAUUUCUAUUUUUAUAUAAAAGUUUCUAAUUUUAAAAAGGGAAAAUAAAAAAUAUAUCUAAAUGAAGCAUAAAUGCUUAAAUAAAAUUUAUUAAAUAAUAACAUUUUACUUAAACAAGUAGCAUUUGUAUGUAGCCUACUGUUGUAGUUGACCUAAUCAUGCACCCGAAAUUUUUUCCUUUUCUUCUUUGUUUUCAAAAGAAGGAUUUGGUAGGAUGAGAUCUGGGAGGUUGAAGAACAAAAUAUUUUUGUCAUUUCAUACUUAAGAUUUAUAUGGGAAAAAGAAAGAAAUUAUGUUUUGUUUAACACAUUUUAGGUUCCCAAACAGUUUUUAACUUAUUUUCUAUAUUUUUAAAAAAAAUUAUAUGUGCUAUUUUUGUUUUAAUCAUUUUUCAUAUUUAUAUACUUAUUUUUUAAAACAACUCAAGAAGUAAAAACAACUGAAAACAACUAAAAUAUUUUUUAAAAAACAUCAUAUUUUCAAUUUUUAAAAAUAAAAAAAUUGUUUUCUAUUCUUAAAAACAUAAAACAAUUUAAAAAAAGAAAAUAUAGUAUUUUCAAAUAAUACAUUUUAGUUAUUUUAAUUUGUUUUCACUUUUUGUAUGGAUAAAAUGUUAUUUUAAAGUCAUAUUUAAAAAUAUAAAAAAUAAGUUAAAAACAUUUCAAGUUAUCAAAUAGACUUUGUUUUAUAAAACAGAUAAAUUAGUUUUCAAAAAUUGUUUUUCAGAAAUGUUUUUAAAAACACUUAUCAAACAAAACCUUAACAAUUUUCUUUAUCAAAUCUUAGUCCUCACUCUAAUCCUAAUCAUAAGAAUUUCCCAUCUCUUUCGUCUCCUUCCCUUCUAUUCUCUUAUUACAUAUAAGUAUCUAAAUUAAGACAUUAAAUCAAUUUAUCAAACCCAUCUUAAGGAUUGUGUCAAAACUUUUAUAUCACUUGAUGGAUCCGCUCAUCCAUCAUUCAUUAUCGAUUAAUCAACAUAAAGAUAACAAUAUCUUAUAUAUAUGUAAUUUAAAUCAUCUCACCCUAGAUUUGUAGAUGUGAAAUAGAUAUUAGAAAAAAACAAAAUUUAAUGCACAAAAAUUGGGAUGAGGGGGUAAAAGAAACUCAACAAUGUUUACUAUUGGUGCAUGAAUAGAUUGCAGAGGACACAAUUAUCAUUGUUUAAUUAACAACUAUUCUAAUUGGAGAAUGUACCAUACAUGGGUCCAUGAAUAUACAUUUAAAUGGACUCAUUAUGGACAGAAUGAGACCAACGAAUACACAUUCAAAUGGACUGAGACCAACAAGGAAAAUUAUCACCAUUCAAAUGGAUAGUGAUGAUCCAGACAGAAUGCAAAUCAGAUUUGGAGGCUUAGAUUUCAGUGUUUUUCGACGAGUUGGUUCACAAUGCAUAUCAUGUUCUUUAACCUGUAUGUGGAGAGAUACAUAGGCCUAUAGGUAAACAACCACAAAGAGCCCUUUUGGACUUACACAAUAAAUUAAAGAAACAAAUAUGCAAAUUAAGGAAACAAACAUGCGGUAAGGAUACCAUAAAAAUAAGAGAAAUAUUUGAAGGAAUAAUUUAUGUUUUGACUUUCUAUUAAAAUGAUUUAUAGAAGUCUUUGUUAAAGAAAAUACAAGACAUGAUAAUAGGAACUAAAUAACUACUCCAACUAACCUACAACCAAGCUUUCUUGAUUUACAAGAGUUGAUUUUAUAUUUGCAGAUAAAACUGCUAACAAAUCUCUAAGAAUUCAACAAUAUCUCCUGUAAAUCUUCUAUUUGAAUCCCUAGAUAGGACUGAGCAACAAGCAACAUGGUUGUUGUCCAUGGGUGGUCAAAUUUAUCAGUAACCCAAGACUUCCAUGCUCUCAAAAGCUCCAUUUUAAUCAAAGGUUGCUGAGAAAAUUACUAACAGGCUAGCAGAAGACCACUUAUCACCAGAUCUAGAAUUAGCAUCAAACAAUAACACAACCCAGGAAAACAAAAACAUUAUUUACAUGCUUCACUAAUGAUAUGCAUUGAUAACCAUAACUUCUGGGGAUAUGAUGCUGCUCAACAAGACAAUGCAUUUGUGAAGCUCAGACGAAUCGCAAAAAUCAUAGAGGAAAAUCUCUUGAGCAUUACCACAUAUAAGGUACAAGAAAGAAAAAGUCGAUGUAUGUGAUCUAUAGCUUGGGACUGAGAUGGAUCAGUGUUGAAUAUUUUCCUAAAAUAAGCAGACUAAUUACAUUAAGAAAUAUUGAUUGAUAUAGAACUUUAACCUCAACAUUCAGAAUUAAUUAGGAAGAAGUUGAAAAUACAGAAAACCUGAGGGAAGGAGCUAAGACACGGAUGGAGGGAUUGGCUUCACAGCAUUUUGGAUCCGCUGGAAUGCCACUCUCACUCUUUCCUUGAGGCCUUCAUUUUCGCUCUCAACAUUCCCACUCUGUUUAUCAAGAUGCACCACAUUUCCAUCAACGCUUAUCACCAGGUUCCCAUUCCCUUCCAACUUCACAUCUCCAAACAGAGAAACAAGAAGUGCGUGGAUAACCUUUUCUGCUUUCUUCCCAUUUUCUUCUUCAGUUUUUAUGGCCUCUGAUUCAACUAUUACCUUGGGGAUCUCAAGACUGAUAUUUAAAACUAGAGCCACAAUGGAGUCAGAGACCAUGUCACUAAUAGGAUCUGAUGUCCAAUGCAGUGAAAUAUGCUUCUCUGAGUCAUGCUUCACUGUCACCCGUUCAUGGACUCGAAAAGCUGGAACCUCAGAUUCUUCAUCUGGCAAUGACUCAACACUCUCAUAUAUCUGCUUCAGCCUGUGCUUUAUUACACCAAAGGCACCAGUGUAAGGAAUAGUAAUCCUCUGGGUGACAUUUGCCGUGGAUAGCUGCCAGAAGACAUGGAGAUCGUCAGGUGCCAUUAUCUGAUAAGUGAACCCUUUCUUUACCAGUAAACCACUGACAGUUUCACCAACUUCUGGGGUCUUUUCAGCCAGCCUCCCAAUGGUUUUUGCCAUUUUUUCAGAGUUGAAAUACAUUUCAACUGACUGACAGUUCUUUGGGGAAAUAAUUUUGGUGUUGCAGUCAGCAAACUGGGUGAUAAGCUUCUGUUUGAGCCUCCCCAUCUCAUUAGCUUCUCCAUGAACAAGAAUGAUGUUAGGUGGCAUGAGCUCCUUCAAGAAUGUACUUGUCUGUGCAAAAUCUGCAUGGGCAGAGAAAGAAAUGUAAUGGACCUGCAUGUUGAGGGGAGCAGUAAGACCAUUCAUUAAAGUAACUUCCUUGGGUUCAUUAAUGAUGGUUUUUGCCAAUGUCCCUCCCACGACAUACCCAGGUAUAACACAUGCAUUUUUCUUAUCAGAGCACCACAUAUCAAACAGUUGUCUUGACAACCCACUCUGAAGCCCACCCGGGCUCGCCAUCACCACUGAUGGACCUACAUCAUUAAAAUUCUCAAUGCUCUUUAAGGGUGAUAUGUGCUUGAAGUCAAAGGGAUUCGAAUUUGCAAAUUGGUUGCGGAUCCUCUCAUUCAUGGAAUUGAUAUAUGUCUGGUAAACAGCCAUGCACCUUUUUGCAAGGGGGGAAGCAUAAUAUAUGGGGACGUUAUGGAGCUCAGGAUGGUUAGACCAAUACUCAUCAAGGAUAAGAAGGAGUUCUUGGGCACGACCUAGAGCAUAUGCAGGGAUUAGAACACGGCCCCCUUGAGAAAUGGUUGAGUGGAUGACAUCUGUGAAGCGCUUUUCUCGCACAUGCCGAGGCUGAUGGAGUUGGACACCAUAAGUGGAUUCAAUUAUACAAAUAUCAGGGCAGAACUGUGGGAUCUCAGCAGCACGGAGAUGACGAUCUUCUUCGCGAGAAUAGUCUCCAGUGUAAAGUACUCGGACACCAGCAAUAUCAACCAUAAACAUGGCAGCACCAAGGACGUGGCCAGCUGUGUAACACCAAAAUCGUAUACCAUUUACUUCUAAAGUCUGAUGGAAAUCAAUAACCUGCAGAAGGGAGAUUUAAUUACAGUUACAGGAAGAUUAAAUGAGAUAAUAAAAUUAAGCUACAUAUCUAAAGUCAAUUGUUGUAAAUGGCCCAACAUUCUGCAAUUGAUCAGGAUUAUAUGCAACCAAUAUUUUGGCAUAUGAGAUACACACACACACACCAUAUUGCUUUUUUUAGUGAACAAGUUUUAUAUUUUAUUAGAUUAGUUAUGUAACAAUUUUGAAACUAAAUUCAGAACAAUAGAAAAAUUGUUGUUGUGGAACACAAAACAUGAAUUAAUAUUAGAAGUAUAGCCAUUUAAAUCUUAAUAGACUAAUUCCUACUAUGUUAGUUUUAUUUGUCCAGAACUGAAGACAAAACCCAUCUGUUCUCAUGGAAGGUGAAGUACAGAAAGCCCACAUAUGUUAUAGAGAUCUAAAACAGUAGUACUUACACUCAGGUAGAAUCUAUUUUUCAGGUAUGAAUGUCUAUGGUAGAAAGAUUAAGGCUUUAGGACAAGGUAGUAGACAUUUGUGACACUAUUAAUUUCAAAUAAGAGUCCCAAGAUAGAACAUUAGAGCUAAUUGCAAAUUUAAAUAACCAGAUUUAAGCUAAUCUGUGAUACAUGGACCAUUGUGACCAUAACUUUUGUGUUUUUUUUUUUUUGAUAGUUAUUGUAACCAUAACCUUUUUUUUUCCUGAUAGACAUUGUGACCAUAACUUUUCAGGCCUUUGAAAAAGGAAGUGCAAGAGAAGGAUUUCUCAUCCUUCCCUACUUUACAAAACCUGAUUUAAAAAUGGAAGUGCAACUGUGCAAGGGAAGGAUGAGAAAUCCUUCCUUACUUUACAAAACCUGAUCAAAACAGAGGAAAAGAAAUACUCUCCAAUAAACAUCAAAACAACUCGACAUUGCAAUUUUAACACUUCGGAUCUACAAGUUGACAUCCAAUCAAGUUGAGUUAUGUUGAGAAAUUCAUGCCUUAAAACAGAUAGUUACAUUAAAGGCACAACCAUAAUCUUACAUUACAUGCAUCCAAUUAUCAUAAAUUCACAACAUAAAAAAAAAAAAAAAAAAUACGUUUUGAAAAAUAGAAUCAAAGGCUUCAUUUUUUAUUUUUUAUUUUUUGAUAGGUAAAUUUUGUUCCCAUUGGGACUUGAACUUGGAACCUCCCGCAAACCCUCCCCAUCCCUUUACCACCUGACCCAGGCCUGAAGGGCACCAAAGGCUUAGGCUUCAUUCAACAUGACAUAUAAUAAUACCUAACAAACCUUCUCAGUCAGGGUAUUAGACAACUGAUUAGGAACUAUAGAAUCAUCAUGCUCUUUUUAACUAAGAACACUUUCCAGGUAAGAUAUUAUACGAGUUCUAAGAAAGCAACAAGUUCACAAAAAAUUAUAAAUAAAAACAAUACUAACAUUGUCAAGGCAUAAAAUAGAGCAACAAACAGCAUUAGGAUAGUUGAUGAAAGACAAAAAUAAUCCACAUAAAAGAGUAAAACAAGUAGCAUUGGAUUUCUUUCAUUUUAUUUUUUAUUUUAUAUAUUUUUGGUUUGGGGGCGGGGGUGGGGGGGGGGAGGGGGGGUGGGGGGGGGGGGGGAAGGGAAUGGCCAAAAAGCCAAAAAAAAAAAAUAUUUUUUUUAAAAAAAUAUUUUAAAAAAAAAAAACCCCCCAAAAAUUACAUUUGGGGCAUUUUUGGGGGGAAAAAUGAAAAAAANNNNNNNNNNNNNNNNNNNNNNNNNNNNNNNNNNNNNNNNNNNNNNNNNNNNNNNNNNNNNNNNNNNNNNNNNNNNNNNNNNNNNNNNNNNNNNNNNNNNGGGGAUGGCGAGAUAGGCAAAUAAGAAUAUAUAUGUAUAUAAUAAAUAUAUGUAAGAAAAGAAAAGCCCCGUAUAAGUAGCAUUGGAGCAUUUGAUGGUGAGAAAUAUGAAAAGAUUUCCAUGACUAGGAGUAAUUUCUAGUCGAUACUUGUUGUUUAGCUCAGUGCCUUUGGUGGAAGAAAACACAUAGGAUCUUUGAGGGUAAAGAGGUUUUUGAAGUUGAGGAAAAAGAAGAAGAAAAAUAGAAAGUUCUGGUCAUUGUUCCAAAUCCAAGUUUCCAUGGAAUACAGUAGAUGGAAGAACAUUAUUAUAUUCCUCUGGAUGAUAAGAAAUAUUAAAUACAAUAAAACUUAAAAGAUAACAUUUACAAAAAUUUUCAAAACAAAAAAUAAAAAGAUGAAAAAAGCCAAAUCAAAGUCACUCACCACCAACCAGGGAAAGGGAUGCAUUUAGAUUAGCUUCAAAACCAGUUUGGACGUGAGGAGAAAUAUUACAAGCCUUAAAAAAAUGGAGAUUGAAACAUACAUCUAUAAACAAAAAUAAACGCACCUCAAUUUUAUCCAUGGAGCGAAGAAUGUCUUGUUCAUCAUACAACAUAUCUUCAACUGAAACUUUGCUCACUUUUACAUAAUCAGACAAAAGCAACUUGUAGAUAGCCUUCGUUGCAUGAGUCAUAAAAACUCGCCCUUUGAAUGUGGUCUAAUGAACAAAUUCAAAUAUUUUAGCUUAUUUAAAAACAUAUGCAAAGUAAUUGCAUAAAAUUUGACUAAGAAAAUUGCCAACCUUCUCCAGGAAAUAUGGAAGGGAUGCAGCAUGAUCCAAGUGAAAGCUGCACAGGAAAUGCAACACAUUACAAUGCAAGAAAGUGGAAAGCACAUCUAAAAGAACAGGGGAAGUUUCAGAUGAGAAAGUAGAGUAGAUAGACAAAAAGAAAAACUAAAGAUGAAAGUUCCACCAAAAAGUUUCAAGAUCUACAAAAGUUCAUUGACAAGACAGACGUGCAAGAUAUCAAAUGAAAUGAUUGUUAAGAAAAUAUGCUGGUACAUGACACAACUAAGAGCACUGCUCAGAGAUAAGUAUGUGAUUACCAUAAAUCCAUUUACUGGGAAGAAACAAUGCUGAGAAAAGCAAUGGGAACUUCAACAUAAUCAAAGAAGGUGAAUGAUUGGGGUUUUUCUGAAGGAAUUUUAGCUGAUAGAUUCAAUUAUUUGUAACCUCACGCGCUCUUACAUAUGAAAGUACAUGUUCAAGUUUGUGUAUGGACACUUUAUGCAGAGAUGCAAAUGGGUAGGUCCAUUAACCCUUUCAUCCCUCCAGAACCCCAGAAAAGGAACCUGUAAGGCCAUUGUAUAGAGUGAUCCCUCUAAUACAGCUACAGAGAAUACUCUCAAAACCAUGCUUAUAGUAGUAGAUCACUAACUAUUGAUGUGCUUUCAACCAUUUCAAGAGCGUUCAUCAGCCAUGCAGUCAGAAUUUCAACUGGAGUAAAGUUGGGCUCAAGAAAGUCUACUCAAAGCCGAAAAAAUCUCAAGGCCAGACAAGAGCCCAGGGAUUUCAAUUUUAGGAAGCUAUUUCAUACGAGGAAAGGAAUCUCCAAGAGUUUAUUCCUUGAGAAAAAAGAAAUAUUAGCGAAUGGAAUGAAGAAGCCAUUGAGAAGCAGGAGAUAUUCAGAUAAUGGCUUAAAGUUUGGGUGGUAGAUGUAGUCUCAUUACUUUAAAGAUAUAUCUGCAGUGCUCCUAAUAGCACCAGAUAUUGAUAAGAGAAGGUACGGAUGGAGUACUUGCAGCUGGUCCUAGUCAAAUCUUUAUAUGCUUUAACAAUAGUUGUUUGGUCACUUUUUCUAAGUAAGGCCAUUCAGGACAGAAUUCAUUAAAUGAUUUUUUUUUUUUUUUUUUGGCAGAAAUAUGACCAUACCCAGGUAUAUAGUCCAAUAUAAAAGAACAAUCAUGAUAUUCUCUAAAUUUCAUUUCUCAAUUCAGCAGAUCACUAAGUUAUAAAAACAAAUAACAUUACAAUAUUCAACAAGGAAAAAGAAUAUACUGUGUCACCAAAAGGACAUCAAUGGUUGAAGGAUCAAUCUCAUCAAAGUAUGGCAAAGCAGCCAUGCCUGAGUAUGCGGGAUGAAUUCCACAGUCAAACUAUCAUCACAGAACAGGAACAAAAUAGAAACAAACAAAUUAUAAAAAAUAUCGAAAACAAAGUAUAAAAACUAGCAACCAAAAUAAACGAAUAAUGCAUUAUGGUAUACCAAUAUGGUUUUCCCUUUAUAGGACAUGUAGACACAGGAACGGCCCACUUCAUUUCCAGCACCUAGAGGGGUAAUAAUCAGCUGGUCUCCUCUUGUUAAUGAGGAAUCUGGUCUCUUCAAAGACUGUGAUGGCCCUGUAGAUGCCAUUCUUCAACUGAACAAUGCUCAGACCCCUUCAAUUAACACCACUCUAUAUUCAUGCAAAAUGCUCUGCAACUGAUUAAAAAAUACAAAAAAAAAAAAGAUUCAAAAAAAAAAAAAAAAAAAAACGCUUCAUCAUAAAUAAAAUGAUACCCAAAAAUAAAUACAAUUCCAGCAAAAGACAUUUUUUCUCUUGGCAACUCCAGUUAUUUUGGUGAAUAUAUUUCUGUUAAGCUUGGGAAAAAUAAAUUUUGACUUUCAGUAAAAUAACUCUGUACAGUUGAAAUUUAUAUUUCCCUGAGAACAUCUUCACUAGAAAUAACCUAUCUCCCCAAUUGAAGCUCAAAAUUUAAAAUCCAGUACGAGAAAGCACUGUUUGUUUGCUGAGAAAUUGCAGAACCAAAAAUUUAAAUCUUACAGCUCUCAGCGCUCAUCCCCCUAGAAAGCAACAUAAAAGCGCAAGAUUCAAUUGCUUCAUUUCCCUCUCUCUCCUCACUUUUCUCAGCAACCAAACACAACAACCUUAUAUAAAUAAGGAGAGAGAGUGAAGUAGAAGAAAGAAGAAACUCAAAACUUAUAAAAAAAAAAGCAUAGUAUGAAGGCAAUUAUAAGAGAUUCAAAAUUUUCAACUCACUUGGUUGCAUUUCCCACGAGUUUCUCGGGAACCAAACAGAGGGGAGGAAGAAAAAACAUAAACUUCAGAACAAAGAAAGAAGAAAUGCAUAGAAAAUAGCAGAGGGAGAAAGUUUCGAGAGAGUUAGAGAGGUUACAGUUAUGAAAUGAUUUCAGACCAUGCAAAGGAAGAGAGUGAACUAAAACCCCAAUUUUGAGAAGAUGCUUCCCUCUUUGCCUCACCCUCUGAAAGAUUGAUAAAUACCGGGCUGGAAUGGUCGGUCCGGAUGUGAGCCGGGUUUGAUCUGAUGUGUGCCUCCGGUUUAAGCCAUUUCGUUAUUCUUUUACUUUAUUUUUUUCCACAAAAUUUUAAUUUCAAAGCCAAUAUUAACAUUUUAAUAAAAUAUAGCCUUAAAAAAUAUGAGAAUUAUUUAUUAGAUAUCUUUCAAGAAAAAAAGAAUUGAAGGCCUCAUAGCAAAUAUUUUACUAAAAAAAUUUUUGAAAAAGAAAAAUAAUUAUCUAACCUUAAUAUCUUAAAAGAUAAAGAGACUUCAAGUAUAUGAUAAUUUCGAGACGUGAGUCAAUAAAAAUAGAAAUUAUAAAAAGUGAAUUGAUAAAAAUAGAAAUUAUAUUAUGAAUAAUUUUUGUUUGGUAUAUAUACAUAUAAUGUAUAUGUUCGUGGGUUGUUAAGGAUUUUUAAAAAUAUUAUUAUUUUAUGUAUUUAUUGAAGUUAUUAAUUUAGUAUAUUGGUCCAAGUUGAGACCAGAAUAUUUUAUUAUUCAAGCAAUUUAUAAACAUUCAUUUAUCAAUGUUUUGUUUUAACUUAAUGUAACAUCAAAAUUUUUAGGUUAUGUUUGGUUUUCGGAAAAUAGUUUUUUCAUAUUUAGUUUUACUAUAAAAACUAGUGAAAAAAAAUAAAAUAUAAUUAAAAUUAAUUAGAAUAUUGUACAUUUUAAAAUUAUUUAAUUUUUAUAUAAUGGAAGAAAAUAAAUUAAAUGAGUUUAGAGAAGCAUAUAAAAUAAUUUAUUAACUUGGACUCUAUUUUUUUAUUUUCCUUUACUUUUUCCUUCUUCUCACUUUUUCAUUUUAUUUUAUUUUCAUCACAUUUUCCCUCAAAUUUUUUGAGAACCAAACAUAACUUUAAACUUUUGCAUCAAAUUGACAACUUAUCAAAUUCGCACUAUCCUUUCUCAAACAUGAAAGAGAAUGACAGUGAAAAGUUUCUAAAACUUCCAUUGCCCAAAUAGGUCUUUGUCAUACAUCACUCGAACCCAACACAAUAUUCAGAGCUCCCAAGAAGAGAACAAGUCUCCCUACCAAGUGAUGUUACUAGUUCCAGUACUUGCGCUGUUUGGAUGUCUUGUCCAGCCUUAGAAUCAAUGCCAUUACCCAACAAGAAGAAAACUUAGUUUUCAGCAUGCUUGAAGAAAAUUUAUUCAGCAACUAUAACUUAUCCUCUAGCUUCAGCUUCUUCUAGCUCACCGAGCUUUCAGGUAAGAGAGUAUUUUGUGUAGCAAUCAAAACAGCCCCAGCAUCUUUAUUCUCAGAUUUUCCACCAGUUUGAUCUGAAGCUUAAUCCCAGAUUGGAAGGUAGAGCUUUUCUCUUCUUUCUGCAAUUGAAGGUGCAGAUUCUGCAAGUUCUGGGGAAACAUCUCAGCUUGAGCGAAUUGUAGACGUUCAUUCUGUGCAUGGAUUUGGAGUUGCUCCAAUUCUUCCUACUUCUUGGCAAGCUUGACAGUCUUCAAGGAGUUCUUGAAAAAGAAUCUGAAGUACAUCUAUGAACAAUCACAUAUGCAUUUGGGCAAUCUAUAGGUUCUCCAUCUGCUCUCAUCGCUGAACUACCACAUUCCUUCAGAUAAAUGGACCUGCCACCUCUGGUUUAUUAAAGACUAAAACAAUUUCCGUUGAACAGGUCUUUGCAUAAACCUUCUUUGGGGCAGGAGACUGAUGUGGAGUAUACUUAAGUCGUUUUCAGAUUAGUAUUUGAAUUGACCUUCUGAGGGGUGCCAAGUGCAAUUCACCAAAAUCCCAAACUGGAAUUAGUCCAUCUCCCAUUUCCUUUGAAAUACUCAACAAUUUAGUUUCUUUUUCUAUCAAGUUUGCCUUCAACUUUUCAAUAUCAGCCUACAUUUUCUCUAGUUUCGUCUGUGGUUCAGCUUGUAUUGGACUGGGUCUAGAUUUUGCGUGUUCUACAUGCUCAUAAGUGCUUCCAAACUACACCAUGUCCUGAACAUAUUCUUUCUGAUACCUGACCUUGGCAUCAAGAGCAGAUUUUAAAUGUCUCAUCUUUAAGACCAGAUUACUACUUAUGAAGUNNNNNNNNNNNNNNNNNNNNNNNNNNNNNNNNNNNNNNNNNNNNNNNNNNNNNNNNNNNNNNNNNAAGAUAGACUGGCUCUCUACAUCAGCUCACAUUGAUUUGUUUGGAGUUGCCCAAUUUCUUUGGCAAAUCUUCAUUUUCGUGUCUCGAAUUGUGGUUCAGUUUCCUUACUUCUUCUACCGCUGGACAUUCCAAAACAAAACUUGCAAAAGCUUGAAUGGCUUCUAAACUUUCUGCCAAUUCAGAAUUUUCCAACUGCAGGUUCACAUUAGAGUUCUUUUAACUCCUCUGCUUCAGCAGCCUCAAAGCAUUCCUUUUUAGCAGCUUCACGCUCUUCUGUUGCAAAUCCUCUUUGAUCACUCUCAAUAAUUACCAAUAAUUUUUGCUUGGGUUGAAGAACAAACCUUCUUGGUGUAUACCUUAAAGGAAUCGCAGUUUCAUUAAAUGUUUCACCCAGUCAUUCAAUAGUGAAGACCCUCAGCGCAUCCCCAGCAGCAGCAACCACACCUUCAGCACACUGAUCAGAUGAAAAUGAUGCAGCAAAUUCAAGUGUCUCAUAAGAAAGCGGUGUCAACAGAAAAUGCCCUCAGUGAAUAUAGCCAAGCCGAGGGUGGCUUGACAAGCAUAGCAUUGCACGUUGGCCUCUCACAAUGACAGAGAAUAUCUUUGGGGCUCUUAGUCCUAAGGAUCGGGAAUGAGCAUCAGAGAGCUGACCUGUCGCCAUAUCUACCACCAGUCUGAACAAAACUCCAUUCUGCGAACCAACAUUAAGAAAAAGACUAGCAGGGCGAUCAGCACCAACCUUAUCACCUACUGAUGCCUGAACUUCGAGAGAGAGAUUCUGGAGGAAAAGAAACACUUUGCAUACUCAAAAUCUGCAUACAGUCAUCAGGAUCCAAAGACGAGAUACGAAUAGUGUUGUCACAUUAUCCGACUGCGAGAAAAUGAGAUCUGUCUUCCUUCAGGAACCGGGGCAAUGUUAGAACAAGCCACAUCCCCAGACAUUUCAUGCUUCUCAACCUCCAUCAACUGACCAGUCAUAUCCACCUCGAAAUAUAUAAGCUCUCCUUCACUCAGUGCAAUAACCACUUGAAGCCUAUUGGGACCAACUUUGAUGGUUGUCCUCUUUCCAGGAGUUCUCCACUCGUUAAUGCGCCUGCCUUCUCUUACAUAACGGAAACCACUAGGGUGAACUCGCGGCAAGGAAUCAUCAUCACCUAUCGAAGAAACAGCAAGGGAUGCUGUAGCAUCAAGAAAACCACUAUCGCUUCUUCAACCGUGUCACCAAUUGAAAGCACAAGAGUAGCAUUUGCAAUUGAAACAACACUAUAUGCAUCAGACUCAUCAUCGACAUUCUUGCUAUCGCUUCUAAAUUUAGGAUCCGGAGGAAAGGAGCCCGAAUCAAUGCUAAAUUCAGUCAAAGCUUUCUUCUAGCAAUCUCUAAAAGAGGAGCAGAAGGCGUGCACCAGUAGAACAAAGUAAAUGCUGAGUAAAGCCCCUUGAAGGCCAUGGUACUGUGUAAAUCAAUAGGCAUUCCAAGGCAAAAUUAGGCCAUGGCAGUAGCUUGAGUACAGUUUUAGUCUCUGAUUUCUCCACAGAUGAUCAGCAAGUUUCGGAAUUUUUAAUAUUCUCUAAGCCAGAACAGAUACAUAAAAGAUGAAGGUUGGACGAACUACUCAUUACUGAUAUCAACUGCACCUGAAUUUAUUGAUGGCCAUCAUUUUUUUGUCUUCAGAAUCCAUUUUCAUUGCAGCAGUCCCAUUAAAUUUUUCUGAUGACUCCCACAUUGUCAUCCCCUAUUGAAGCAAUUCUAUCAACAAUUUCAGUAAUUAUGUCAACACCAGUAUUCCUUAAUGAAAAUACAACAAAAACUUUUCCACAACAUUGGCCAAGGGAGCAAAAGUCUCAUUCAUUAUUCAUAAGGAAUGUCAUGCUGAAGCUUCUUCCACUUCCUUAAGCUUUUGAAGCAAAUGGCACUGAGACCAUUGGGAACAUAUGCGAGGGCCUUUGAAGAAGGAAGUAUUCCAGCCACUACUGAAGAUAGAAGGCAUCAGGAAGGCCCCAAUUCAUGCAAAGCAGAAAAACAAGAAAGGCCAUUAAGGCCAAUUUUGGUCAUGACAAUCAUAGCAUGAGAGUUUUAGGAUCCCGUAGAGUCUGCAGAAAUGUAAGUAGUAGACCCAAGCGCCUUUAACAAAACCCACAAUCCUGUACUCUUCUGUAUGCAGUCUCUUUGCCAAAAGCUCUGCACCUCCCAGAUUCUUUAAACAGGAAAACUGCUGCACUGCUGUUGUCCAUGAGCUGCUCAUCAUGGGCACCAUUAGAUUGAACAAUGAAUGCGAAAGCAAGAAGGCGAAUCUUGUUGCACAAUCUGUAAGUUCUGAGAGGAAGGCACGAGCAUAUCUGAUUCUGGUCAGGCGCAAGUUUGUGCUCUUCGCAGUCCUCUUGGGCAUUAAACCAUGUCUUGACCACUGCCUAGCAUGUAGGUUCCCAGUUUACUGUUGCCUUUAGGGAUCACAAGGUCCAUAUUUAUCUCAAGUCUUGGCAAAUCAGUUCUCUUUCUCGUCAACCUACUGGAAUAUCUCAGAGCCAAUCAUCCAGUAACCGAGCUUUAGCCCAUUAACACUCAACCUUACAAAACUAGACAAGCUGCGAUGGGAUUCAUGGAGAUAAGGAAAUAGAACCGCCGGAAGUACACUGAACAUGCUGCGGCUUGCUGCAACGUUACCCCUCAUAUCAAACACCUCUGUCAUCCCCUCAAAACGUGCCCAAAUAUACUAAGACUCGAACAUCGUACAAGAAAGGAAACAUGGAACAUAGGCAGAAAAUAUCAAUCAACAUAGACAGCCCCGUUUUACGUGUCAAUAAUCUAGGGCUGGACAGGGGGACAAUACAGAAUAGGAUUUAAACAUAAACAGAGUAUGAUCAAAUUCAAGUAUGGGGUCACAUAUUUUAGAAGACACCAACGACAUAUAAAAGAAUCAGAAUAAAAAAAGGGCAAACAAGAACACAGAGAGUAACAAGAAGCAUACCUGGACAGUCUUGACUGCAAUCACUCCUUCCCCGCUAUCGUCCACCUCCAAAAUCCGUGAAAACCUUUGUUCCUCUUUCUUCAUUCGAAAACAAUCCCCUUAAAAAAAAAUCCCCUCUGCUCUCCUCUGUUGUUGCUUUAAAAGCCUCUCAUCUUGAAUCUGAAAUUCCCCCCCGGUAGCAAGACAAAAUCUCAACUCUUUCCUUUUUCCAUUGCCUUUGUUCAGAUCUUCCUUUUCAAAACAUGGACUGAAUCUUCAGUUUUUCCAAAACCCACCAAAAUAAUAAUAAUAAUAAUAAAAAACUAGAAAAAAAAAUAUAAAGUAUUAAGUCAAAAUCAAAAUAAAGAUAAAUAAAUAAAUUAAAAAAAAUCAGGAAUCAUAUAAGAAAAGGAAAAGAGAAGAUCAAUCACAUGUAAGUCAUAUAAGUCAUGCAUGCUAUGCAAUAAGGUUAUCUAGGCAAACUAUGCAACCAUGAAGGAAAGUGAGUCAAUGCAUGAACUAAUGGGUCGGGCCUUGUGGUGCCUAAAGUGGGCCUAGGUGGGCCAAAGUAAACCUGAGUGAGCUUAGAAAAGUGCUAUAGUGACCUAGGGUGAACUAAGUGAAAUCUAACUUAAAGUGCACCCAAAGUAAAGUCUAACCUAAACUCGAAGGGUGACUAAGGUCACAAUGAGGAGCCAGAUAAACCCUCAACCAAAGUCUCCAAAGUGGCUUAGAGAAGACAAAUUGCAUAGUAGUAAUUAGUUACAAAUGAACCAUUGUAAAAUACUAAAUGAGCCCUCAAUAGAACAUGUGCUAAGGGGACAAAAUGAAGGAUCUAUACUAAUAGAACAAAAAUUCUAAAAUCUUCAAAUCUCAACUUUUAAACCAACAUAUCAACCAUAGUAUUUUUGUCCAAGCAAUUUCAAACUAAAACAAUAGCUAACAAUAAUUAAAUUCUAAUGUUUAACAAAGUCCCCAAAAAAGAGUUUAAACAAAUAUCCUAAUAAAGCCAAAAUUUUCAUUCUAACCAUCACUUCUCACCCGAACUUAGGGUACCUGAAAAAUUAAUGAGCUCAAAACUCAAUAAGAAACAUUAAUAUAGUUUCAUGGAUCAAAUAUUUUCAUUCAUGCUUCCAAAUAGGAGAUAUAGGGUAUAAUCAUUUUCAUAAAACGUUUGAGUUCAAACAUGCUAAUACAUUUUAAACAGUUCAACCAAACAUUUUCAUAUAUAUCAAAACCAUUUCAUAUCAAAUCCAAAUCAAAUACAUUUCAAUUAUUUUUAUUUUGGUUACCAAAUAAUAAAUGACGCUUAGUUAAGUGAAACUUUACAAAUGGGUGGUUAGCUUCAAAUUUGUUCCUUUUAAGGUGGACAUAAUCAAAAGUAACCUCUAAUCAAAGCCCUCAAGGCUGGGGUUUAAAUCAAUUACAUUUUUUAUCAGGAAAAUGUAAAGGUCAAUUAUUAUAUCCUGUUGACAAGGGCCGAAAAGUCAACUAUUAUACCCCAUUGAUAAGGACCAAACAAAUUAAAGUCAAAUUCUUUGUUUUAUUUAUUCAAACUUACGGAAAACAUAAUACCUCCAUAUAUUCUAUUAUAAACAAAAGAAAUGUUAUAAUAUAUUUUUUAUGCAAAAAUAUAUUUGAUCCAUACAUAAAAGCAAAAAUAACACACACACACACACACACACACACACACACACACACACACACAUAUAUAUAUAUAAUUAUCUCUUCAAAUUGAUAAAUGGUAGUUUUUUUAUUCAUACUUUCAUUCGUUCAUGUACAGAGUAUAUAUAGAGGGUAAUCACCAUUCUAAGAAUGGGAAAGAAUGAUACAAGGAAAUAAUGAUAUAAGGAAAUAACAACUAAUAUCCUAAUAUCUCAACUUUCCUAAUAUCUCAAUAUUCCUAAUAUCUCAACACUAAAUGAUAUAAGGAAAGAAUGAUAUAAGGAAAGCAUUCCUAAUAUCUCAACACUCCCCCUCAAGUUGGUGCAUAGAUGUCACACAUGCCCAACUUGUCUAAAAAUUUUGAGAACACUUGACUUGAGACAACUUUGGUAAGGAUAUCGGCCAAUUGAUCUUCUGAUCGAAUCUUAGGCAAUUCCACAAUCUUAUCAUCCAAAUUUUCCUUAAUGAAAAAUCUAUCCACCUCGACAUGCUUUGUACGAUCAUGUUGUACUGGAUUAUGAGCAAUGUCACAUGCGGCUUUAUUGUCACAAAACAAUUGGAUUGGUUGCCUAGAUAGGUAACCUAAAUCCUGUAAGAGAAGUCUUAACCAUAAUGCCUCACAAAGUUCUAGAGCCAUACCUCUAAAUUUCGCUUCUACACUUGAACGAGCAACGACAUUCUGCUUCUUACUUUUCCAUGUCACAAGAUUACCACCUACAAAGGUAAAGUAACCAGAUGUAGAUCGCCUAUCAUCCACUGCACCGACCCAAUCAGCAUCAGUAUAUACUUCUAUACUCUGAUGAUUAACAUUUUUAGUGAACAAAAUUCCCUUCCCAGGAGCAUUCUUCAAAUACCUCAAAAUACGCAUGACUGCAUUCAUAUGUUGCUCUCCAAGAUUAUGCAUGUAUUGACUCACUACACUCAAUGCAUAAGCAAGAUCUGGUCUUGUAUGAGCUAAGUACAUUAAUCUCCCCACAAGUCUCUUGUAUCUUCCCUUAUCGGUUGAUACUUGAUUAGACUCAACACACAAUUUCAGACCUUCUUCUAUUGGUGUAUUAACAGGUUGACAUCCCGACAUUCCAGUCUCCUGUAAAAGAUCUAAGGCAUACUUUCUUUGAGAUAGAAAAAUUCUUUCACUUGAUCGAGAAACUUUAAUCCCAAGAAAGUAUUUCAGAGGACCUAGAUCUUUCAUUUCGAAUUCUCUAGAUAGAUAAUUUUGUAGAGCUUUUCUUUCUUCAGGAUCAUUUCCUGUAACUACCAUGUCAUCCACAUAUACGAUGAGUGUCGUAAUCUUACCAUGUUGCUUUUUCAGGAACAAAGUGUGAUCUGAAUUACUUUGACGAUAGCCAAAAGCUCUCAUUGACUUUGUGAACCUUCCAAACCAUGCUCUCGGGGAUUGCUUCAACCCAUACAAUGACUUUUUCAAUUUGCACACCUUCUGACAUUGCUUUUCUGGCAUCAUGCAUCCUGGUGGAAGAUCCAUGUAUACUUCUUCAGAUAACUCGUCAUGCAGAAAGACAUUUUUCACAUCGAAUUGUUGUAAUGACCAAUCUAGGUUUGCAGCUAAAGACAGUAAUACUCGAACUGUGUUGAUCUUAGCUACGGUGCAAAUGUCUCUGUGUAGUCAAUUCCAUAAGUUUGAGUGUACCCUUUUGCUACCAGUCUUGCUUUAAAUCGUUCAAUACUACCAUCUGCCUUGUACUUCACAGUAUAGAUCCAACGACACCCAACUGGCUUCUUUCCUGGUGGACAUUCUACGAGUUCCCAUGUUUCAUUCUUCUCCAAUGAUUUCAUCUCUUCAUUCAUGGUUGCUUUCCACCUUGGAUCAACUAAGGCUUCCUGCACACUGUUAGGAAUAACUGCAGUAGAUCAUUGAUUUACAAAUGACUUAUUUGAUUUAAACAAACGAUGGUUAGACACAUAGUUGCUCAUGGGAUAUUUGACUUUGGUAGACAAUUCAGGUUCAUAUGUGGGUUUAGGAAUACCUCUAUUAUGACGAUGUGGUAACCGUUUCAUGAAUGGAUCAGGUUCCAAAUUAAGAACACCCUCAACAGACGACGAUUGGUUUGGUAUUUCAAUGAAGACAUCUUCGGACCCAAAUUGUUGACCACUCAUAUCCAACUCACCCGCUUCCUGAUUCACUAGUUCAAAUUGUCCAGAUUCAUCUUCCUCAGAGAUAUGAUAAUCAUAAUCGAGAGUCUGAAUUUCCUUAUGGUACUCCUCCUGAAGUUCAGACUCAGAUGAAAAAUACAUCGAAUCUUCAUGAAACACCACAUCCAUUGUAAUAUACAUUUGUCAAGUUGGAGGAUGGUAACAUUGAUAUCCAUUUUUGUGCAAUGCAUAUCCAACAAACACACAUUGCAAUGCAUGAGAAGUUAACUUGGUGCGUUGGUGCUUGUGUAGAUGCACAAAUGCCACGCAACCAAAAACACGAGGAGGUAGAUUUGGGACGAUUGGGGCAACUACGGCAUUAGUAAGAGCUUGGAGAGGUGUUUGAAAGUUAAUUGAGCUAGAAGGUACCCGAUUGAUCAAGUAUGCGGCAGAUGUGAUUGCUUCUUCCCAAUAAGAUAUCGGUGUUUUUGCUGCUAUCAAGGAAGCACGAACAACCUCUAACAAGUGCCGAUUUUUUCGUUCAACGACUCCAUUUUGCUGGGGUGUAUUGGAACAAGUAAUCUGAUGAAUGAUGCCAUGUCCUUCCAAAUACUUUUGAAGAUCAGAACUUUGAUAUUCUCCACCAUUAUCACUAUGCAGAACUCGAACCUUUGCAUUGUACUGAGUUUCAAUCAUUUUAUGAAAUUUUUGAAACAACAAGUUCACUUCAUCUUUGGUCUUCAUCAAGCAUAACCAUGUCAUUCUGGUACAAGCAUCAAUAAAAGUAACAAACCAACGUGAGCCACUCAAAGUUGGGACUUUGGAUGGGCCCCAAACAUCAGAAUGUAUAACCAUAAAAGGAAACGAACUUUUAUUCAAAAUUAAUGGAAACGAAGCACGAUGGCUUUUAGCCAAUUCACAAAUAUCACAACGGAAACCAGAAAUAUCACUCUUUGCAAACAAACUAGGAAACCAUUUUUUUAAAUAACCAAAGGAAGCAUAUCCCAGACGUCGAUGCCACAACCAAAUUUCAUACUUUUUCUUCUCCCCCUCAGAUCCAUCUGCCAUCAAGACUUGUUGCAACUUAUUUGAAUCCUUUGACUGCAAGUCCAAGUAAUAGAGUUUUCCCCGCUUAAUACCACAACCAAUCGUUUGUCUUGUUUGGAUGUCUUUAAUCACACAAAAUUCAGGCAAAAAAAUGACAAUACAUGAUAAGGUUGCAGUGAUUUGAGAAACUGACAAAAGAUUGUAAUCUAAAGAUGGAACAACUAAAAUAGAAUCCAAAUUCAAAGUACCAGUAAGAGUUAAGGAUCCUUCCCCAAUGACUGGGGUUGUGUUACUAUUGGCUGUGGAAACAAUUUUUUGUGAGGAAGGUCUAAGGGGUGAAACCUGUCUAGAAUCAAAAGUCAUAUGAUCUGUAGCACCAGAAUCAAUUAUCCAUGCACUAUUAAUAACAGGUGUAAAAGUAUUUAAAAACUUACCACCAUGAUCAAUAGCGACUACCAAUGCAGAGGCUUUCUCAGUAACAUUAGCCUCUGUUUUUAUUUCGGCAACAGUUGCAGUCGAAGUUUUCUUGGAAUCCUUUUUCCGUUGAUCACAAUUAUUAUCAUUAAUAACAAAGUGUUGAUAGCCUAAACAUGAUCUAAAUGUCCAUGGUUCAAACCCUCGGUUCCUCAUUGUUUUCCUGGUCAUACCAAGAGUCGUUACUUUGAAAUUGUGGGAUAUCCAGACUGGUGGGACCAGUCUUAUUGCAGUGAGUGCAUUUGAAGGUUGACUUAUCAAUAUUAGGGCUUGUCUUAGGAUGGUUGAUCGCUGUCGGACUACCAUGGUGACAAAAUAUCCAGGAUUUCAGUUCAAUGGCUCUGAUACCAUCUUCAAAUUGAUAAAUGAUAGUUUUUUCAUUCAUACUUUCAUUCGUUCAUGUACAGAGUAUAUAUAGAGGGUAAUCACCAUUCUAAGAAUGAGAAAUAAUGAUACAAGGAAAUAACAACUAAUAUCCUAAUAUCUCAACUUUCCUAAUAUCUCAAUAUUCCUAAUAUCUCAACACUAAAUGAUAUAAGGAAAUAAUAAUAUAAGGAAAGCAUUCCUAAUAUCUCAACAUUAUCUUCUUUUGCAAAGUUUGUGUUAAUUUCUCUUAGCUCAAAAGAGUCCUCAAAAACCUUGGAGAGAAAUAAUUGUGGAAAAUCUAUUCUUCACUUAACAUAACAUAAUAGAAAUAAAUAUUAUUAUUUAUGUACAAUUUAAUUAAUCUAUUCCGUAUUUAAAUAAAAUUAAUAAAUUCCUAAUUUGAUUCUAAUAACACAUUACUAAUUUAAUUAAAUUGCAAUUUUAUUUCAUUAUAAUUUUUUUUUUACUAAAUCUCUUAUUCUAUUUAUUACUUUAAACCAUUAUUACUAUUAUCUUAUUUAUUAACCUAGACCUAAAUAUUAUUAUUUUAUUAAUUAUCAAAUUCAAUAGCCACCCAAACCAUUACCCACUUGUCUCUGGCACACACAAAACAAAUAAAACAAGGCAAGUUCUUCCGAUUGUCAUCAUCAUCACUAUGAUGAUUCAUUAUUUAUUUAUUUAUUCUUGGUUUUCCAAGGUCAUCCUUCCAUCAAAUGCACACGCCUCUUUUUUAUUCUUUCUUUCUUUCUUAACCCUAACAUGUCUUUUUUUUUUUUUUUACUUCUAGCAAUGUGCACACAAAUACAAUGCCUCAAAACCAUAAAUACAAGUAUCUAUAUAUGACCCCUCCAAAAUCCAGAAAUCAUGUAAUUCUUCUUAUUAUUUAUUUAUUUAUUUUAUUUUCAAUCUAAAGCCUCCACUAAUGACUUAUUUAUUUAUUAUCUAAAUCUAAAAUUUCUUUUCUUCCUCUGGUUUUUUUUUUUCAUUUUAAAUUUAUUUAUUUAUUUUUCUAUUCCAUUGAAAAUUUUGAAAUUUUCCUAUCUUCAUCGAUAAAUCAACCUAUAUUUGAAAAUUUUCAAACAUUUUGAUCUAAAAGUUUAAUAAACAAACCCUAAUUUUGAUUUAGAUUUAAAAAAAAAAUAUCUAAUAUGUUCGAAACUAACUAAUGAAUCUAAAAUAUUAAUCUAGGGGUUAGAAUUUUAUCGGAAAAGUAUGGACUUCAAACCCUAAACCUUCAAACCUUUACCCCUAUGUGCUCCAAUUCUCUGAUUUUGGUUAAUAAGGUUUUUUGAAUAGAGAAGACAAUAACAAAAAUAAAAAAAUCUAAUUCAUACCUAGGACUAUUAAUGGAAAAAAUGACAUUUUUCCCCUAAUGAAUUUAAUUAAUGUUUAAUUUACUAUUUUACCCCUAAAAUUAAUUUGGGGUGUUAUAGUAUCAAUGGAUGAAAAAAAAAAAUCAAAAGGCGUAGGUCAUAAAUUUUAUUUCAAAAUCAUUUAAGAAUUAAUUAAUUAAAACUCAAAUUUUAAGUUUUUUAAUUUUAAAUUCCUCCCUUAUUCAUUAUUGGAUUAAAUUCUUUUAACUAUUUUUCCCUCUUUUAACUUUAUUAUUUUUUUCAUAAUUUUUAUCAUUAGAACAUAAGCUUUCUUGUUUCUCUUAAGAUUUUGUAAAUCAUUUAUGUGAAAUUUUAAAACCAAAUUAGCUAUCAAUAUUUCUUCUACCUUUUUCUCAAUCAAAUGCAUGAUUUAUUGUUGAUACUUAUCUUGGUUCAUCUAUAAGUGAGACCAUAACAAAAUAGACAUGCUUUUUUUUUCCAUUUGGAAGUCCUAAGGAAUCGACAUGUAGCCCAUAACAAGGACUAUCAAAUUAAUCAUUUAUAGUUUACAAUAAAAUAGAAUGCAUAUUAAAGGGGCUCUAGACUCGCAACUGUGAAUAUAUUGUUUGUUCUAGGUCCAACAGGUCCUCAAAAUUUCAAAAUAUGUUUACAAGGUUAAGAGGAGUCCAUACACAUAUAAUAUAUAUGUAAAAUUGCAAGGUUAAACGUUUUUAAAGAAACACUUCAAUUAAAAGCAUUUCCUAUAAAAACACUUUCAAUCGGACAUUAAUUAUCUUUAGUUAAUUAUCAUCAAUUCCUAAAUAUAAAUUUAUUCUCCUUAUCGGGAAUUUAACUAAAAUGCUUUUUUUUAUUAUCAAAUUAAACUAUGCAAGUGUAGGAAGUAGUUUUGUUCAAUAUGCUCAUAUGCUCUUUAGAUCAUGUUCUCCUUGAGUUGCUUGUUUUUUCUUAACAAAAAAAAUACAGUUUGUCACCCAUUUUGAAGGGAGAUAAUAACGAAAAACUCAUAGUUAAAAAAAAAAAAAUGUGAUUUCAACAGUUUUGGGAAUUAUCACUCUCAACAAUCUAUUAAAAAAUUGUAAAGAUUACAUGUUGGAUCUCCCCAGCCCCAAGGACACUUACUGUCACAAGAAUAAAGGUCACAAGAAACCCAUAUCCUAUCUUCCACCCCAAGCCUGCUUCUGCCAGUCAAAGUCCAAUCACAAUAUUCAGAGCUCCCAAGAUGAGAGCAAGUCUCCCUACCAAGUGAUGUUACUAGUUCCAGUACUUGCGCUGUUUGGAUGUCUUGUCCGGCCUUAGAAUCAAUGCCAUUACCUGAGAAGAAGAAAACUUAGUUUCCAGCAUGCUUGAAGAAAUAUAUUUUGUUACUGUCGAGUGAAGGCCCAGGCAGAGUGAAAACAAACCUGAAGAAUGCCAAGGAAAAACACCAAGGAUCCGAGGGGUCUGUGAAUCUUGAAUUUGGGAAUGCGAUAAAACUCCAGUCCAUUGUAGAGUGUCCUUCCUGCGACGACAGUAGCAAGACCCGGAAGAAAACCCACAAUCUGGAUCGAGAUAUGAAGAUAAAACCAUUGAGGAUCAUGAUGCUUGAAGUAUCUAGGGAUGAUUGCCCCAGAUGGAAGGAGCACGUCCCAUGCAAUUAGGCCCAUGUCUCCAUGACGCGUCUCCAAAUCUCCAGAGUUAUUGACACCAGAGUUAUAUCCUGUGAGACACACAACAGAAAUUUUCCAUAUCAGACUUCAAAGAGUUUUAUCUGAAGCUCCCACUUUAUUUCCUAGAUAUAAGCCCCUCGUCUAGAAUGUAAAAUCCUCUGUUCUCUGUUCAAAUUUCAGCUUUGCAAUUGGAGUCAAUACAUCUCGUAUUCAAUUCAAUCCUCAUCUUUUUAUGGCCUCCUAAAUUCUAAGACCUGUCUGGGUUGUCCAGUUUUGUGAAAAAUUACAUCAUGGGAUUUGAUUCAAUGUUAGGUACAAAAUUUUGGAAAAAUCUGCAAAACCCUCAACAGUUGUGACCACAGCUCAAGACCAAGGUGGGAAUUUACAAUCUAAUAAUGCUGAUGAAUGCUUCAUAGACUGCUCUACGAAACUAGCGUUUGUCAGAAUGCCUGUCCUUUGUUGAAAGACAUGAAGAUCCUCACAUUCUCGAGCAGGAAGAACCUUGGCCGAAAGUAGUUGAUUACUACUCAAAAAGUGCUAUUUGAUAGCCUAUAAUUAAUCAUUUUAAACACUUUUGAGUAGUAGUUUAGGCCUUUUAACUCAAUUGGCAUGUUAAGGAUCCUUUAAAGCAAUUUUAAUCACUUUGUGCAAGUUUUGGUGUUUUUGUUAGUAUUUUGAUCACCAAAGCAAGUCAAGACUGAGGAGAGCUAUGAGGAAUCUUGGGCAAAGCUUAGAAGUCAUUUGCCAAGAGUGAAUCCGGAUUGCAAGGAGUAAAAGCAAAGAGAAUCUGCCAUAAAACAUAUUCUUGAUGACAGUCGUAGCAGCCACUUUUGGAGCACUUUAUUAAGUCCAAAUUAUGCAUGCUAUAUACCAUUUCAAAGCUCAGGAAGUCAACAAUCCAAUGCUUUAAACGGUGUGCAAUUCGGAGUUGAAACGAAGAAGUUGCAGCCAUUGCAAGCCAAUCACUCCGAGCUGAAGGAAGCAUUUUGCAAAGUGUUGCGAAAUCACCCUUUUGUUGCGAAGUGAUUUCGCAGCAUUUUUGUACAGUAAGGUGUAUCUCCUUCUGACGAUGCACGAUUUAUGCCGCGAGAAGGAAGCUAGGAACCUCAAGGUGGAAGCCAACUUUGCAGCCUGGUGAAGAUAGCUUGGUGUUGCGAAAUUAUUUCGCAGUCCUCUUGAGUGUCUGCGAAAUCUCGCAGACACCAUUUUACUCCUGCGAAAUGGUUCCUGAAGCCUCCCGAUAUUUGCUACCGACAUUGGGAGAUAUUUUCCAUUAGAUUUUUGUUGUCUAAAUCCCAAAAUACUCCUUGUAAACCACCAAUUACAAGAUUCCUUAGCUUUUAAGUUAGUAAAAAGACUAAAUAUUUUUGUAACAAUUAGUUUUAUAUUAUGUUGAUAUAUAUACCUCUCGGGAGCCUGUUCUCGGGGAGGAGAUUCUUCUGUAAAAGUUUGGGUAAGCAAGUAAAGUCUAUUUUCUUUCUACUGCCUUACCUUCUCACUUUGUAUUUUCAUUUUAUUUCUAAGUUAUGAAUUCUCUGAGGAGUUUUCCCCAGAGAAUGAGUAACUAAACCUCUAAUUCCUUGGAGCUAAGGUUGCCGGGGAAGGUUCCAAGUGCAAGAAUGCAAAGCUUUGUGGUUUUAGAUUUUAAUGAAGAGGAAGUGAAAUCCUUUAGUGAUUUCUAUGUUUUUAGUUAACUUAAAACACCUUAGAGUCACCUGGGCCAACACUUGGUAAGGCAAGUGAUUUCCAACUAUGGAAAUGCACUAGUUUACCUCUUGCAAGCCUCUGGGAGGUGACUUCAAGGUAGGAUUUUCUGGAAUUACCAACACUUGGUAAGCUUUUGGACUCCUAGGAGACAUCCAUUAGUUAUCUCUUGCGAGUUUGUGAAGGGAAGUCCAAGGUUAAAGAUCAUCUUGAAUGGUAAGUGCUCGUGAGAGGCAUGAACCAUUGCAAGUUGCAUCAGUGAGAGAAUUAAAGUGAAAUCUAAUUGAAGGAAUCUCUGUACAACACCGGUUAGAGAAUUGACUAUAUGUUGAAUCUCUAACGCGAGGAAAUGAACCAUCUGACCAGGGCCGUGUCUUUUGCAUGAGGAACCACCCCAGUGAACCUAAAUCUCCAAGGAAUGCUUUUCUUCCUAAAUUAUUCCAAACUUCUGUUAUGUUAGUUAGUUUAAGUCUAAACCUUUACCAAUCAAAGUUUGUGUUUUACUUCUUAAGCUAACCGUGAAAUGAAACAAGACCAAUUCACUUGGAAUUGGUAUCAUUGAUUGCUUGUUAAUUAUUCCCAGUGAACGAUCCUAGAGCCACUAUACUAUAGUAGCUUUUUAUUUGCUACCCUAGUGUAUGGUGUUAUAGGUAUAAAUUUUGUUGAUCACUCCCUCAUCCAAGGAGCACCAGCUGGACAUGGAUCAGCUGAGACACCAAUUGGGCAUAAAUCAGUAGUCGGCAAAGGAUAAGAAGGCUGGGAUCAUUUCACACUGAACUUUACUCCAGCUACUUUGGUUAACCGGAUUCAUCCCAGAGAAACCCUGUGAAGAUCGCAGCCUUGUUUGAGCUCUUUGAAUAGAGUGAAAUAACAGAGCAGAAGCUGAUCAAACCUGGCAUGGAGGGCCCCCCAUUAAUAAAAUCAACUUCUCCAACCAUCCGGUGAUGCAGAUUGUUUGGCAGCCUCAGAAGCUGAGACACGGUCAUCGGCAUUCCCACACUACUCCACGACAGCCCUGCAUCACAACCAAUUUACGGGUCUAUUACAAAUGAGAGGGAGAAAAAGAGAUUUUCAUGUUAAUGAAAUCAUUCACCUUAGGAUCGAACUGAAACGAUAAACAUCAAUGAUUCCGGAUGAUUGAAUUUGAGUGCAUCCCCAGCAGGCUCUUCAUAUUCAGUAGCCUACUUGGUUACUGAUACACCUGCAAAGUUGAAAGCAACAGGAGGUAAAAUCAUCACAUUCUUUAAUAAAAAUGUCAUCACAUACGACUCUUUAGCUGAUAUAGAUACAAAUGAACUACCUGAUUGAGGGGCCCUUCAAAGGAAAAUAUGUUCCAAAGGUUGCAAGGACAUCACAUGGUGGCAGAUCAUGCUUCUGAAUAACCUGCACAUUCCACCCUUCAAAUAUAUUAGAAAAAUAAUAUAAUUGUAGUUUUAUAUUAUAAUAGAAGUUCAAAAAAAAAAAGAGAAAUUAUGCACGAUUGCUUGCACCCACCUCAUGGAUGUCAUAACAGUAUGCCUUCUUGCUUUUACAUUUUACAGUAAUAAUAGAUCGAUAACAAAUUUACAUGGAGAAGUGAGAACCCUCAGCUAGUUUCAUCCCCAUGACCAUGAUCCAGCAGCUCACCCAACGUAAUCACAGAAAACGGUUUUGACAAUAGUGGCCACUGUUUUGAGAGUGCUCGAGCAACUUGUUGCAUAGUUGGCCGAGAUUGGGGAUUAACACACAAACAUGCAAAUGCCAACUUCACUGCAACCACUACUUCCUCUGCCACUUGAUUCACAGGAGGUGAGGGGCGCUGGUCUAUCACAUCAUUCAGCAGGAAAUGGCCGACCGUUGAUGGUGAUGCAGAUGAGGAGGACGCUGAUGAUAACAGGGAUGAGAUAAGCUCUCCGGGAUGCCUUCCCAUAAUUACUUCUAAUGUCACAACACCGAAGCUAUAAACAUCGGUUUUAUUAUCCACCUUCAUUGUGUAAGCAAGUUCUGCAAAAGAAGAUUAGAUCAUGCUCUGCUCUGCUAAGCAAUUAGAAACGUUACAUAUGACGUAUAGAGGCCAUUUAGAGAUAAGCAAGGCACUAAGAAAAAUGUACCUGGAGCUGUAUAACCAAAAGUUCCUGCAAAUGAAGUCCAAUUAGAUGAGUCUGACUUUAAAAGCCUAGCCGUGCCGAAGUCAGAUACAUGAGCUUCAUAUUCUGAAUCUAACAAAACAUUGUUGCUCGAUAUGUCUUGAUGAAUUACAGGAGGUGAGCAAUCAUGGUGCAUAUAAGAUAAAGCUUUAGCCACGCCUUUAAUAACGUUUAGCCUCACAGUCCAAUCUAAUCUUUCUGCUUCUUCGUCGUUGCAUAGAAUGUUUUGCAAACUCCCCUUUUCCAUAAACUCAUAAACCAAAAAUGAGUUCUUUGCAAAUGAACUGAAGCCAUAAAGCUUGACGAUGUUGUGGUGCCUUAUCUGUGUUAAAGCAUAAAUCUCGCUUUUGAAAGCUUUCAAAUCAGCCAUAUCUCCAUCUUCUGAUGAGUGAAGCUUUUUCACAGCAACAACCCGACCUGUUGGCAACUCAGCCUUGUAAACAGUACCAUAUCCUCCAGUGCCAAUACACUGUUUCGAACUGAAAUUGUCGGUCCCCUGUAUGAUGUGCUCAUACAACAAUUCCCCAUCAUGGCCCCAUAUUGCAAAUAGAUCUUCAACAUCUGCUUCAGGAGACUUGGUUUUUCUCUUCCUCAAUUUUUGGAAAAGAAAAUAAAUGCCAGUAAUAAAAGCAAAUAAGAACAAUAGACUGCUCACAAUAAGGAGUAUUAUGAUCAAAAUAGAAAACUUGCUGGCCUUCUUUUGACUAGCACCGCAUGGCUUGAGAUGAGUGACAUUAUUACCACACAGACCUUUAUUAUUUUUGAAUGCCUCAAAUUGAGCAAAUGCUUUGAUGUUGGGGAGAGGACCUUCCAACUGAUUGUAGGAUAUAUCAGCAACUGUCAGGCUUAUCAAAUCAUAAAACGUGUGUGGGAUGGUGCCAGAGAGAUCGUUAUGGGAGAGAUUCAACGUUUCUAGGUUCUGUAAUUCUCCAAGGUGCGGUGGAACCUCUCCUGUCAACAUAUUUUGACUAAGAUCGAGACUUUCAAGAUGAUGCAUCUUUCCAAUUUCGUCAGGAAUGCUAUCCACAAAUCUAUUCUCGCUCAAGUUCAAGGACCAUAAUUUCCAGAAGUUUCCCAGUUGCUUGGGAACUGGACCGCUUAAGUUGUUUGAUGCCAAGUCAAGGAUUUCAAGAUUGGAUAAGUUUCCUAAUUCCAGAGGAAUACUUCCUGAAAGUUUGUUGUUGCCUAGCAACAAUUUGAACAAUAAGGGAAACAUACCCAAUUCUUUUGGGAUCUUCCCAAUUAGAUGAUUUGAGGAGAGAUCAAGUUGUUGCAGUUGAAUUGCUUUCCCAAGUUGAGGUGGUAUAGCACCAGAAAUUUUAUUGUUGGAGAUGUUCAGGUUUGUGAGCAUGUGGCACUCCCCCCAUUUCUCAGAAAGCUCACCAUAAAAAUUGUUAUUGCUCAGAUCAAUAUAAUUUAGAUUAGGGUAUACACCAAAACUUUCGGCUAUGUCUCCAGUAAGUUGGUUUUUUUCAAGCCUAACUCUGAAUAAGCUAGUGCAAUUUUUCAAGCUCUUUGGAAUAGGACCAGUGAAAUGGUUCAUUUGGGCUGAAACUUUUUCAAGAGCAUUACCAAGGCAUAUCUCUUGUGGUAGGUGGCCAAUGAAGUUAUUCUCAGCAAUUUGCAAAGAUUUCAAAUGAGUGAUAUUAUUCAUUUCUAGAGGAAUGGCACCACUGAGUCUGUUGUAAUGAAGGGCCAAAAAGUUUAAGCCGGACAAGUUUCCAAAGGAUGGAGGGAUCAGACCAGUGAGACUAUUAUUUGCCAACUCAAGAUCAUUAAGUGAUGUCAACAAUCCAAUCUCUUGAGGAAUAGAACCGGAUAGUUUGUUUGUAUGAAGGUACAAAGUGGUUAAGUUCCUCAAGUUACCUAUGGAAUGAGGGAUUGGACCGGUGAGAUUGUUAAUUGACAACGCAAGAUCAUUAAGUGAUGUCAACAAUCCAAUUUCUUGAGGGAUGGAACCAGAAAGCUUGUUCUCAGAAAGAUCUAAAGUGGUUAAAUUUCUCAAGUUUCCAAAGGAUGGAGGGAUCGGACCAGUGAGACUAUUAUUUGCCAACUUAAGAUCAUUAAGUGAUGUCAACAAUCCAAUCUCUUGAGGAAUAGAACCGGAUAGUUUGUUUGUAUGAAGGUACAAAGUGGUUAAGUUCCUUAAGUUACCUAUGGAAGGAGGGAUUGGACCGGUGAGAUUGUUAAUUGACAACGCAAGAUCAUUAAGUGAUGUCAACAAUCCAAUUUCUUGAGGGAUGGAACCAGAAAGCUUGUUCUCAGAAAGAUAUCAAGUGGUUAAAUUUCUCAAGUUUCCAAAGGAUGGAGGGAUCGGACCAGUGAGACUAUUAUUUGCCAACUCAAGAUCAUUAAGUGAUGUCAACAAUCCAAUCUCUUGAGGAAUAGAACCGAAUAGUUUGUUUGUAUGAAGGUACAAAGUGGUUAAGUUCCUCAAGUUACCUAUGGAAUGAGGGAUUGGACCGGUGAGAUUGUUAAUUGACAACACAAGAUCAUUAAGUGAUGUCAACAAUCCAAUUUCUUGAGGGAUGGAACCAGAAAGCUUGUUCUCAGAAAGAUCUAAAGUGGUUAAAUUUCUCAAGUUUCCAAUGGAUGAAGGGAUCGGACCAGUAAGACUAUUAGUUGCCAACUCAAGAUCAUUAAGUGAUGUCAACAAUCCAAUCUCUUGAGGGAUAGAACCAGAAAGCUCAUUCUCAAAAAGAUGUAGAGUGGUUAAGUUUCUCAAGUUUCCUAUGGAUGGAGGGAUUGGACCAGUGAGACUAUUAAUUGCCAAUUGAAGAUCAUUAAGCGAUGUCAACAAUCCAAUUUCUUGAGGAAUAUAACCAGAUAGUUUGUUUUUAUGAAGGUACAAAGUGGUUAAGUUCCUCGAGUUACCUAUGGAAGGAGGAAUUGGGCCUCUGAAAUUAUUAAAACACAAUGCUAGAACACUAAGAGAUGUUAGAAAUCCAAGUUGGGGAGAUAUUACACCAGUAAAACGAUUGAAAGUAAAGUUAAGAUUUGUGAUUAGUUUAGAAAGAUUACCAAUGUUGAUUGGAAUGGUUCCAUAAAGGGAGUUGUUAUAAAGAUUAAGAGUGAGAAGGUUAGGGAGUGAUGAGAAAUUGAGAUUGUGGAGUGUACCUCUCAAACCGCAAUUGUCAAGGUCUAAAUUGGAGACACUUCCUGACCUGUGACAAGUCACUCCAAACCAAUGAUGGCAAGAAUUGCGU
rnacentral:lncRNA from 1 species